GACACUGUUGUAGGGCUCAACAACAGAUGUGGAGACCUGGGGUGAUGGGUAGACAGUGAAACCCAACUUGGAUUUCUUGCCAUAAUCAACAGACAAACGCUCCAAAAGGAGGGAACCAAGACCAGAUCCAGUGCCUCCACCAACAGCGUUGAAAACAAGGAAACCUUGAAGACCGGUACAGUUAUCAGCAAGCUUCCUGAUACGGUCCAAGCACAAGUCAACGAUCUCUUUGCCAACUGAAACAAGUGAACAACUAAUUGUUAGUUCCAGUAAAACAAAUAAACAAAUCGUAGACAUAUGAAGUGAUUAAUGAAAUAAGGUUAAAAGAAUUUACUAGUGUAGUGGCCACGGGCGAAGUUGUUGGCAGCGUCUUCCUUGCCGCUGAUGAGUUGCUCAGGGUGGAAAAGCUGACGGUAAGUACCAGUCCUCACUUCAUCAAUAACAGUAGGCUCAAGAUCCACAAAGACAGCACGAGGGACGUGCUUUCCAGCACCAGUUUCACUGAAAAAGGUGUUAAAAGCAUCAUCACCUCCUCCGACAGUCUUGUCACUUGGCAUCUGGCCAUCAGGCUGUUAACACACGCAACCCCUCGUUAUUUACUCACCAAACCUUACAUUCCAUAGAUAAAUGACAACAAUCUAAUAAAGCCUCCAAAAUGUUCUAAGGAAAGCGUAAGACAAUGUUCAAUACUACAAAACUUUAGUCCAAAUCUGAAGCGAAAACCUAAAAACCACUAGCAUUACCAGAUCUGAUAGAAAACAAAGCCAAACACGAAGAUCGAAGACCUAAAAUUCUCAGAUCCAAUAGAAAAUCAAACAAAUAACUAAAAUAUGCAACGGAUCUAAGCAGAUCUAAACGAAGUGAAGUUACAUACAUUGACAUAGAGAAUCGAAUAAUAUAGAUCUGAAUCAAAAUAAAAAGAGAUACCUGGAUUCCAUGUUCAAGGCAGUAAAGCUCCCAGCAGGCAUUUCCGACUUGGAUACCAGCCUGACCGAUGUGAACUGAAAUGCACUCUCUCAUUUUCGCUUACUAAAAAUUCAAAAACGUAGCAAUAAAGAAGUAAAUGGAAACCGAAAGUAAAUCGAAGGCGUUUAUGAAGACACCCUCAGAGAUUACAAUUUGAAAUGCGGUGGUUCUAAAUGAUGGAGUGGAUAUGGAUAUUUAUAUCGGGAGCGUGUGAGACAAUUGCAGGUAUUUGAGGGUGGUGCUGUGGUUAAACUAGGGCAGAACAGGUUGUAGUGUUGGUGUGGCAGAAUAUGAUUGGGUUUUUACUAACUAACGUUCUAACCAUGGUUAGUUGCAUUUCCCAUUUUUUUUAGUUUUUAAAUUUUGCCGCCCGUUGGACUGGUGUGGCUGGACGAUCGAGUUGCUGCAACGUGUACCUUUGUUUAUUUACUAUUUUUAAAAUUUUAAUUUUGAAAUUUCACGGAAAAAGGGAAGUAGACUUCAAUAUGAGUGUUUAAAAGCAAGUGGUUGGGUUUGGUAGGGGAUGAAAAUAUAAGGGUAGCGAAUUUUUACAAAAAGAAAACUCAGAAAUUUAAUAAGAAAUUCAACUUUAACCCUUUUCACCUGAAUUUAAUUUAAUUAUUUUAUUUUUUAUUUUGAAGUAAAUAAUAUUUUUUAGUUUAAAUUUAAAAAUUAAUAUAUAUUUAUUUAUCGAUAGCGAAAACUUUAUAUAUAUAUAUUAGUGACUUUUUUUCUGUAAAUACAUUAGGGAGGGAUGAAUUUACCUCAAAUUCAACCCCAAUCCGUCCCAUCCUUAACCCGAUUUUUGGAAAAAAAUUGGCCCUAACGAAUUGAAUUGGGUAGAAACCCAUUAAACUUGGGCUUUUUUUACCAUCCUUAAUCAAGGGUAUUACAUUAAUGAUCAUUGAACUAUAAAAAUUUUCAAAAUAGUUACUUAACUAUUUAAUUUUGUCUUUUGUGGUCAUACAACUAUCAUGAAUUUUUUAGUGCUUCUAUUUCUACGAUAGUCAAUUAGUGAUAAAAAGACAAAAUUGAAUAGUUAAAUACUCGUUUUGUAAUUCUUCACAGUUAAGUGAUUACUAAUGUAGCUUACCCAAAUUAUAUUGGUAACUUUUAGUAAGUUUUUUUUUUUUUUUUGUAACUCAACUAUUUGAUUAUCUUUUUUAGUUACUACUUGUUAAAUGAUUAGUAGAAAAAUGAUUUGACAACUUUUUAAAAUUUGCAUAAUAGUAAAUUUUAACCCUCGACAUUUAUACAUUAUAUUAAUUUUGAUUCUAAAAAAAUUAACCUUUUUUUUUACAAUUUUGCUUUUCUUUUGACAGUGGGUGUUAAUUUUUUUUUAAAAUGAGAAAAUAUAAAAAUAAUUUUCUUGAUUUUUCGAGUGUUUCUAUUUUUGGUAUAUUCAUGAUUAAAUGUAACUGAUAAAGUGAAAGGGACACAAAGAAACCAAAAAAAGAUCAAAUUACAUAAUGUGCAAACAUUGAUAGUUAAAUUUUUUAUAAUCAAGAUUAAAUUAACACAAUGUAUAAAUGUUAUGCGUUAAAGAAUUAAAGUUACUAUUAUGCCGAUUUUAAAAGCUACAUCGUCAUCAUUGUCAGUGAACCAUUUAACAUACCUUAUAAAACAAAACAAAACAAAAUAAAAUAAUUAGAUAAUCAUUUAAUAAGUUAAAAAAAAAAAACUUAGCAAUAUUACGAGAAUAAUGAAAAAUAAAACUUACCUGAUUUGCUGUAGGAGACGAAGAAAGAAAUGGAGGUUUCAAACAAGAGGGCAAAUAACCACAACUUUCACAAAGUACAUAGACCUAUAGUAGAAUUUAACCUUUAUUUGUAAUUGUAUUUUAUUUAUUCUUCUAAACCCUAAAAGAAAAACUCUAGUGAUACUUUAAGGGAGCUUGUACAACUCAUAUCUGUAAUACAUGGCCAAGGGAUCAUAAGUAUCAACAAAAAUGGCUCAUUUAUACCUUAUUGCCUGUCUCAUAUGAAUCGAUAAACAUAUGGAGUUACGUUUAUCCAUACACCUUCCAUAAAGCACCUUAUUUUAAUUUCUCGGCCACUCCGAGACGAUACUCGUGUUCAUAAGUUACUCUACAAUUAAAGAAAAUGCUAUGUGAAAGACUACCCGAUCAGCGGUCACCUUUUUCAUAUUCAAGGCUGAAGAAACUUCUUUGAAGAUGCAGUUUAAGUCUGUAAAUUGUAUUUAACACUGUUUCAAGUGGCCGGUUGUGCACCAUUCCAUGAGCGCGGGUCAUUAAAGGGUUCAUUGAUCCUACGGUGGUCACGGCUUUCUUGCAUGAAUGUUACCCCAGUCCAUAUCCCCCGUAUAAGUAAGAUGGUUACAAACACAGCACUUCCAAGGGUGCAAACCACCUGUUUCCGAUCAAAACAUGUUAGAAGAGAACAAGUGUCAUAAAAAGAUCAGUUUGUAGAACUCAGCACUCAAAUAACAUUUCAAGCAAAUUCCAACCAAUGCUCAAAGAAUUCAACUUCAAGUAAAAUAAUGACAAUACAACAAAGAAUCAACUUCCGCCAUGCAAGGAUAUUAACCAGCUUCGGUCCUACAUCAGUAUGUAAUACAACAAUUUGUUUUCUAACAUUGUAAAUACCCAAGACCACAGUUUCAAACGCAAGAGAGUUUUUUUCUGCCCUUCCCACAGUCCCGAGUCAGUACAUGGAUUUUCACAUUGAAAAUUGCUUAUUGGUUCACCAUAACAUCUUCCGCGAUAAGUUGGGGUCAACAGAACUACCGGCUGAAUCAAUGCAGAUAAAAAGGGAUAACCCGGAAGAAAACCAGUUUGCCAAAAUUGAGCACGCUUAUUGAAUUUCCAGCCCCAACAGACAAACAUUUCAUCAACCAAUGGAAACCCUAAACUAUCAAUUUCACAAUAUUUCAUUUCAGUUCAUGGAACCAUUCAUCCCCUUCUAGGUAUAAACUAGUUUUCCCAUAGCAUUGGCCAAGUCAAGCUUAUCCCUCUUGAAAUCAAGAUUCUCCAUUUAUGUUAUUAUAGCUGAAUGUGAUUGGAAUAGAAAACUACAUUAAAUAGAAAACAAAGGGGAGAUUAAUAUGACGAAUUACCUCAAGAAAUGCCUUUAAAACCCAUAAAAAUGCCAGUAUCAGAACUCCAUCAACAGAGAAUCCAACCUACAAUAAUUCAAAAAGAAAUGAAAAUUUCAAUACUUGAAGCAGGAGAAAUAAAAAAGAAGAUGGUGUAUAAAUUAAAGGGUGUACCAGUUUAGUAGAGAUAGAGAUGGGCAAAAUAGCUCGUAAGGCUUUCCUUGCUCGUUUAGAUAUCUUUCUAAAUACGUUUUGAACAAAUCUAACAAACAGAUCCAAGCUCCUAUCUUCUUCCUCUUCAUCGUCAUCUUCUUCAUCGUCAUCGAACUCCGAAGUGAUCGAACGGCUCCAGUUGCGAGGGCCAUCCACAAGAUUAUCAAUCCCCUGAUUAACAUUUCAAACUCUGGGUUUACAAGUCUCGAGCAAAUAUAUUGUAUUUGUAAAAAAGGGGCACUGACCUGAGGGUAAUUGGGGAUUCUUCGUGAAGCAAGAAGGGGCUGAAAGGAGUGGGAUUUGAAAGGGAGGGUUUUGGGGUUACAGGAAAAGUGAAACGGCGGCGGUUUUUUGUUGGGGAAGAUCGUGAGAAACGGAGGUGAGUGGUUGACGGUGAAAGACAUGAGACUGGCAAUUAUGGAAAGCAAUAACACUAUAACAUGGGUUGUUCGAGGUUUUAUUAGCCCUUCAUUUUUGUUGUUUUGCUUUUUCUCUUGAAUUUGUGUAUUAAAAGCAAAAAAAAGUAUAGCACUUAACCAUUUUUAUUGGGUCAAGUUCAAUUCUUGUAGUUGUUGAAAACUAUGAACCCAGAAGCCGUGUUACUGUGAUGGGCAGAGUAUUUAUCGCUAUGAUUUGGUUGAGUCGUAUUGCUAUUAAAAUUUUACAAAUAAUUUUAUUAUUUAUGGAGUUAUGAUUCUAUCAAGAGAAUAAUUUUUUUUAUUUUUUUUAUUUUAGGGUGAAAAUGUAUUUUUUUGGGUCAAGUUCACAUCGCAUAUUCUCGUAAGUCAACAAUCUUGAUUAAGAAAAUUUACUUUGCAAACUAAAGACAACUGCGAGCUUAAGACCUUAUUUCGUACCAUAGGGUAAUAUUCCCUCACAAUUAGACUUGUUCAUGGGGUUGGGCCGGGCCUGCUAGAAAAGUGAGAGGUUUAGGCAAAAUAUAUGCUUAAAAAUUAGACUUUGGCAAAAAAAAAGACUCGUUCUAAAAAUGGGUUGGGCCUUGGGUAAAAAGUAUUUUGUUCGAGGCUCGGCUCAAAUUCACUAAAUGACAAAAAAAAUCUACUAUUUUAAUGAUAUUUUAAUGGUAUUUUUUGCUAUCAUUCCACUAUUAUGUUACUAUUAUUUUGUUGUUAUUAUUUGGGUAUUGUAUAACACUUGUUUUAUUGUUAAUUUUGCUAUUAUUUUAAAGACAUUUUCUUGUUAAGUUGCAUCUAUCUUAGUAUUAUUUAAUUAUACAUAUUUUUUAAAAUUUAUUUUUAAUUUGUUCGGAAAUAUUUAUUUUAAUGUUUUCAGUAUUUUUGAUGUAUUAUAUAUAUUUAAAAAUAAUGUAAAAAGAAUAAUAUAAUAUAAAAAAAUUUAAUAUGGACGAGCCGGGUCAAACUCAAAUUUUACCAUUUUUAUCAGAUUUGGACAAAUUUUUAAACUCAUUUUUAGACUAGCCUAAAUUAUUGCUUGGGCGCAGCUUAAACCUGGCUCAUGAUAACUUCUACUCACAACCUCAUACCAUCACGACAACUUGCCUAACAUAUUCGAAGUAUUCAGCACUCACAUGUUAUACAUAUCCUUUCUCUUGUUGUGACAUCUAACGUGAUAUCUAGGACGUCAAAAUCAAAGUCUGAAACCAAUACACGAGUAACAAGUGAUACCUAAGAAUGAUCAAUGACAACCCUUUAAAUACUCUCUCCUUGAAUAAUCUCAAAUCUCUCUUGUCCCUUCUUCCUCUCCAAUCCUCUUCGGCUACUCACAUUUCGGUCAUCCUAAUUUCCCUACAACUCUCCGUCCAUCGGUCAACCAUCAAACCACCAAAGUUUCCUCCUCCUUGUAUCAACAAGUUUCAUCUGGCAAGCUUUUGCAUGCACCAAGAGAUAAUAUAUCCGUCUGCAUAUAUUCUAAAUAAGUUCCUUGUAACAGAGUUUACGCAAAGGGUCUAAAUUGUUGCAGAUAAUGGCCAAUGCUCCACUUUCAACACAGACAUAAUUUCAUUGUAAAAUGGUCAAGAUUGGUUAAAAUACAUAGCCAGCAACCAGUCUAAGUGCUAAACCAAUCUUGCAAACACAUAUUUACAAAAGCAUAAACUUACAUUUCAUUAAACAAAAGAAAAAAGGCCAUUGACACCACUCAACAAGAAGUUGGUAUUAAAAUCAUGGCACUUACAAGCAUCAAAAAGGGUCUAAAAACAUGCAAAUGUUCUUAUAUACAUAAACAUGUCAGGUCUUUAUAUGAUACCCUAAAACGCCAUAUCUAUUUGGAUCAAGUGGAAGAGUGACCAGCAGCUAGCCAGGAUUUCAGUCUAGUACAACAUAACCUUGCCUUCGAAGACGGCGCAAUUGAUGAAGGGGCGGUACACGAAGACGAGCAGGAAGGUCAUAAUCAUCAUCAUGGACAACAUGAACACCUCCAAGUGGAAUAGGAUCUCUCCUAACCGGGAAGUAAGAAGGCCUAUUGACACGAGGGAAGCCUCGCCACCGUGUAAUCGCCCGUUUACGCUUCUUCUUACUCUCCCAACAUGAAUGAUAUAUCUUUUUCCAGUUCCUCGUUACUCCUAACCAAUGUCCAAACUCCUCUUCAACUUUCUUCCUCCAUAGAUCAUUAUUCGAAGCCACAUAUCGCAUCUCAACUGAAACGCAUGCCAUCCUUGCGACAUCCGUGCCGGGCAAUGAGUCCAGAAUCUGGAGCUUUAAGUCAGCUGGGAGACGCAUGAAACAAGCUGGAAGAGGCAAUCCAAUCUUAAAAGAGAGAUCUAUCAACAAUGGCAAUGCAAGUCCAUCCUUAACAACCUUCCAAAACUUGAAAAUUUCUUUUUCACGAUAUGAAAUAUAAGACCCAUCUUGAUUAUUAUCAGUCCUAGUGUAAUUCUUAAAACAACGUGCCCACAGUAAACCCAUAGUUGGUUCAAACGUAUAUCCAUCCAAAGACAAUCUAUAUACCGAACCCCCUUUAACUAAAGACCCAUAAACCUGGAGAAAAUUGUUUAAAGUUUGAAACUUUAAAACAAUAUAAUCAGUUAAAUUAGGCCCAAAAUCAUGAUUGGCAAUCAAAAGUUGAGGCAGGGAAUAACAAAUUGAAACAGGGGAAGACGACUCAUCUGGCAAACGAAACCGAUCAAUUUUCAAGCCUGAAACUGUAUCAAACAACACGAAACCCGAAUCCAAUAAAAUCACGUGGAUUUCCAUCGCCAUGAGGUUGUGAAUGCUACGAAUAUCACCCAGUUCUUCCCCUAAAAACUUCCUCAAUAAAUAAUGCUCCAAGAGCCUUCCUUUAUUAGCUUGUUGAGAAACUUGGGGCUCGAUCAACAUGGGUUCUCGAACUGGGUUCUCUCGAUUGGCGCUGGACUCUGGCAUUAGGAUCGGUUCUUGAAACAGGGUUUGAGGAGGUGGAGAAAAAGCGUUGGGGUUAAGGGAAAAAUAGAUAAGGUCACCGGAAGCAACACCGAGGGAAAGGAGGGAAACCAGAGGAGACGGCGCGUGGAGGAGGUCCUUGGCGUUGAGGGAGAAACGGAGAGAAGAGGGAGUAACAUGAAGGGGAUUGAGCGGGAGACAGGGGAAAACGGCUUCUUGGAGUUGAAGAAUCGAAGAAGAUGAUAGAAGUUGUAUCCUUAAAGUUUCUUUCGAUUCGAAAUUUCUCAGUCUCAGUUUCAUGGCUUUCUUCUCUAAAUUAAAGAAAGGGGUCGAUUCCAGUAUAGCUUCGGCUGAAUCGGAGUUCCCCUUUUAUAGGUUAUAUAAAAUAAUUUUAUAUUUGAGUCCUUCUGCCUUUGCCAUAUCAACAGACUACGAGAUUUUCUUAUUUAUCCUCAGCUUUCUGUUACCGCGUCAUUUUCUCCCUCCUUCCCCUCCCCUACCCACUAUUUUCAUUAGUUUGUUACAUCUCUAUAGAUUCUUCGUAAAAUUAUAAUUUAAUUUUUAUUUUUAUUUUUAAGAAUUUAGUUUAAGAACUAAAGCUAGCAAGAGCUCGAGGCACAUUAAGAUUUUGAUUUGACAUUUAAGAAGUUUAAUCCGAAAUUGAAUUUACUUAGAUUUCUUUAACAAACUUGAAUGAUUCAUUUUGAGAAAUAAAUGACUACCACGCACACUCUCUUGAAAAAUCAGCUCAUUUGAAAACUUAGUUAUUUUACUUUUAGCCUAAUCCGUCAAUGGCUCAAUUAAGAAGAUUAUUUUUAAGACCAAAUUGAUUUGUUUGCUUGUAAAUUUAGUCUAUGCAACGCAAUGCUAGCUGAAUACAUUUGGUUUUCUUUAAUAUUUUCUUUUCUAUUUAAGGCUUAGUUUAGAUGAGCGGUGUGUUUAACUGUAAUUAGUGUAAAAAUAUGGUCAUGAGAUUAGAUGUUAUAACGAUACUGUAGUGUGAGACAAAAAGUAAACUAAACGCACUGCAUUGCACCGCACCUAAUCACCCAUUUAAACCCACUUAAGUUUCUUAGUUAGAAAGAGUUACGCUUUCUUAACCGCCUGUAUUUUUGUUUAUUUUUUUUAUUUUUACGUCCUUUUUAUAUAUAAAAGAGUAGUCACAAGACACACAAUUUUGAUUUGAAAUAACUUAUCCUAUAUAAUAGAAAUCUCAUAAUUUCUAAAAUUUUAAACAAAAAUCUAAUCCUUAAAAAGAAGUUGGUUAAUAUCUAUUGAUAUAAAUUUAAAAUUUAAUUUGAAACUAUAAGAUAAAAUAUCUCAACAAAUGAUUAUUUCAGCAGUAGAGUUGUUCAUAGGCUGAACACUAAUAAAAUUUUAGACCUGAUUGAUAGGUUUGGGCUCGGCUUGAAAAAUAAGCUUAAAUUUUUGUUCAAAUUUGGCCCAGAUAAAAAUGUUAAAAUUCGAGUUCAGCCCGUUCGUAUUAAAUUUUUUAUAUAAUUUUUUUAAAAAUAUAAUACACCAAAUACACUAAAAAUAUUAAUAAAUGUUUCCCAACAAAUUGAAAAUAAAUUUAAAAAAGUCUUUAUACUUAAAUAACACUAAAAUAAAUACAACUUAACAACCAAAUAUCUCUAAAAUAAUAACAAAACUAACAAUAAAACAAGUGUUAUACAAUAUCCAAACAUUAACAACAAAAUAGUAGUAACAUAAUAGUGAAAUUGUAGCAAAACAGUUACAAAAAGUGGGAAAACAACAGCAAAACAACAAGUUUUUUUUAUUGCAAAUUCGAGCCGAGCCAAAAAAACCUUACCUGAGGUCCGACCCAUUUUCUAAACGGACUUUAUUUUUUGCUCAAAUCCAAUUUUCAAGCCUAUAUUUUUACUAAAAUAUUCUCAUUUUUAAUAAUUUAAUUUUAAUAGUUUUCAAUUUUAAUGACUUUUAAGAGUUACACAAAGUAUGAAUAUAAAUUAGUUUAUUUAAAUUACAUCGCAAGUCACCUUAAAAUAGCGCUAUUUCUAUUUUACUCACUCUAAAUAUUUUUUUGUCAAUUUAAUCACUCUAAUUAAGAUAAUUAUCCAAAUUGGUCACUGCUAUUAAAAAUUCCAUUAAUUCAUUAAUAGAUUACUGACGUGAUACAUUAACCAAUUAAACAAUGACACAUGACACUUUUUUUCUUUUUCUUUUUUUUACUUUUGUCUAAAACUUAGAAACUUCUUUAUAAUUAUUCCAAAAUAAUUUUUUCCUCUCCUAUCUAUAACUAGCAAAUGGAGAUACCAAAACCCCCCAUUUUUAUCUAUACAUUAAAUUAAGAGAUAAAUAUGAAAAUUUUGAUAAUAUAAUUAUUAAACAUAAAAAAUAGAACUUAUGAAUUAAAAAUGAAUUUUGGGGAAAUGAAAAAAAAACCUUUUUUUUUCUAUGAAAAUAUAAAUUUUCUUCAAAUUUUUGAAGCAUAUCAAAUCCAUCCUCCAAUCCCACAAAACCUUAGGAUUCAUCCAGAUUUAUGUAUUGCUUCAGAAAAAAAAGAAGAUAUACCCAAUUAUGUAUAUGAAUUUGCCACAACAAAGAAAUUGCCUCAACUUGGAGAAAACUUUUUCCUUUUGUAGCUAUGGAGAUAAUACAACAAAGGAAAUCGAAAUUUAAUCAAAUUAUUCUUAAACUACAAGUGACAAAUGGGUAAUGUUUGCAAGGAAUAAGAAAAGGAAACACUUGAACUCGAUUGUUUCAUUUAAGCCUGCAAUUAUGUACAUUUACCAGCACAAACAAACAGAAGGUGUAAUCUGUAACUUUAGGUUGAACUAGAGCUGAUCAUGGGUUGGGCUACUCGGCCAGGCCCGACGGCCCGCCCAAAAAAUGAGAGGGUUCGGGUAAAAAUAUAGGCCCGAAAUAUAGGUUUGGGCAAAAAAAGAGGUAUGUUUAGAAAAUAGGUCGGGCCUCGGGUAAAACUUUUUUGGCUCGGGCCCGGCUCAGCCCGAAUUAUAUAUUAAAUAUAUAUAUUUUUAAUCAAAUAUAUAUUUUAUUUAUUAAAUAUAUACAUUUAAUAUGGGUCGGGCCGGGCCGGGCUCGAGCUUAGCAAUUUUCUUUCGGGCAGGGCUUGGACAAAUUUUUAGGCCCAUAUUUCGGGCUGGGCUGAGCCCGGGCCUAGAAAAUGGGCUUAAAAUUUUGCCCGAACCCGGCCCGGCCCGACCCAUGAUCACCUCUAGGUUGAACUACUAUAAUAUGAUUUGUAUUAGGGAUCGAUCCGUAUAAACAGCGAGAUAGUAAAAGUGGAGAAGAACGAACACAAAUAUUUUAUAUAGAAAACUCCUCCGAAGUGGAUAAAAACCACGGGCAAAGGAGGUAUCAUCUUUUCACUAAAUGAGUAAACAAACAAGAAUACAGUAUGGAGGAAAGAAACCUAAAUGUAAGAAUCAGAACCCCGAAAACAAAGUCUUAACUUGGAAACAAAAUUCUCUCCAUAGUUACUACGAAACUCUCACCUAAACUCAUAUACGACUACAUCUUGCUGCCCUCGAGAAAAACCCUAACUGAUUGGCAUGUCAAAACAAGGAUACAAUGACCCUUUAAAUAGGCUUAGAUUAGAGUUCUAAUCAUACUAACAUAUCCCUAGAAUAAUCCGAGUUCAAUUGGAAGAAACAAUCCUGCUUGAAGUAUAAAACACAACUACAUUAGGUGAGAUAUCAUCGUGACGUUGCCUUUUCUCCUACCUCAUGUGAUCGCCGCCUUGUCCCGAUGUCCCGAUGACCCUCAUUAUAACGUCGUCCCUUGUUCGUCGUAUCAUCGCAAUGUCAUAUAUCUCCUCGUCUUGAUGUUGAGCGUCUAUCUUUUAGAAGUGCCCGCAAAACAUUCGAUAAAUGCGAGGCACACCCCACAAUUUGCAAGAACUUGUCUUGCUUGCAAUAUUGUUUGAGGGCCAGUCCAUUCCUUCAUAGGAAAUGGCACAUGUGCUUUGUAUAUACUUGCAAAACAUAUAUAUUUUAGUCAAAAAUAAAAAAAAUGUCAUCGGGAAAGAUGAAUCGCUUUCGAAAAGAAAUCUAUUGGUUCUCUCCCAAUUGGUUAGACCGUAUGUGCGAUGAUUUACUUCACGAGCGAGGUCUUCGGUUCAAGUCUAGGAAGGCCCAACUGCGCCUGGGAAAAGAAUAGAAAAAGCAUUUGACUCCUUCAUGCAUGCUCCACUUGGCUUGGGGGAUAUAGCUCAAUUGGUAUCUGUCAUUAUUCAAAUGGCUAUUGUGCCACGUUAGUAAUUUGUUAGUGGAUUAACGAAAAUUUUAACGGUAGUGACCAAUUUGAACAAUUAUUUUAAUUAGAAUGACUAAAUCGAUAAAAGAAAAUAAUUUCAAAAGUUAUAACAUAAUUACUUUUAAUGAAAUUAGAGUGACUACCAUUAUUAACAUGUCUUAUGAAAUUAAUUUUUAUAACAUAAUUAUAUAUAAGAUUCCAAUAGUUGUACAAUUGACUUGAUGAAUAUAAAUUCGUAAUUCUCAGCUUAAAUUAAAUAAAAUAGUAAAGUGUUUUUUUGAACAAUUUUAUUAUAAGUUCGGAUCAUAAUUGUUUUUUUUUGACACAAUGUUUAGAAUUACCCAUAGUCCCUCCCUAACCCAUAAAUAAGAAGAUAAUGCGCUUCAACGUACCCCAACAAUGCUUAUACUAAUCGAGCUAAUGCUUAAUCGGUAUAAAUUAACAAAGUUAAAUUAAAGGUAUUAGAACUUUUAAUUUGAUUAUUUACUUAAACAAUUAAAAUCCGCCAAAUGAUAAAAUUGCAAUAAUGUCACGUAAGCAAUAUUUCUUAAAACGUAAGUUAAAAUGUGAGUAAAACUUGUACAGCAAGUAAACACUUUUAAAACCAAACCCAUACUUAUGGUAGAAGUAUUACACUAAGAAGACAAGGGAAAAAGGAAAUUUGACUUUCUAGAUCAACUUUUGGCCAAAAUAGAUUUAAAUUAAUUUUCGUCAUUUUCGUAAAAUACGUAUGGGAAAAUACAUAAUGAUAGGAUUUUGCAUUGGAUUUACUAUUUUUUAAAAUUUAUUAAAAUUAAUACUUCAUUGAAUAUUAAUAGCAUGAGACAUUAUUCUUUAGUGAAAACCAUCAUUAGUAAAUUAUAAUUUAUUGAUUGGUUCAAAAAAUUAUCGUGGAGACCUUUAUAUUAAGAGUUGAAUUGUAUUUUGAUUUCUCUACGUAAAAAAUGGGCAGAUUAGUCAUUGUACAUUACAUUAAAGAGUAAACUAAUCAUUUUCUUUAAAAAAAAUUUAUUUCCACAAUUAGAAACUGGUAUUUAUAUGUCAGCAUGAGAUAUACGUGGCACGUUAUGUGUCAUUAUUAGGUUAUUCUAUUAGUCACGUCAAUUUUUAACAAUGCAAAAGGAUGAAUUUUUAACAGAAAAGACUAAUUCAUUUAAUGUAUAAAGACUAAUUUACUCAUUUUUAAUUGGACAGUGGUGGACGUAUUAAAGAUUUAGGAAACAAAGACAAAAUGAUAAUCGUUUCUUCUUCUUUUGGAUUGGGUUGGGGCAAACAAGCACUUAAAUAGAUAUGUUGAAUGGUAUUAUUCAAGAGAAUUCGUUGCCUUUUUUCUCUUUUUUAAUGGAAGUCAUUCAUUAUCGUUCAUUGUCAGGUACCAUAUUGAUAAACGAAACUAAAGUACAUAUAUCAAAAUGAAUAAAUUAAAAGUGCAAGUAUCACAUUGACAAUUUCGUUAAAGUACAGGAGCAAAUUUUGUCAUUAUACCUUAAUUAUUCUUUACGUUAUAACAAUCUAUUUUAACACUAAUAAAAAAAACUUUUCCUUGUGACCAAAGGCAUCAAGGUUUUACGCCCGUAAAUCACAAUGCGACAAUCUCUAUUGCUCGAUCAGAUGCGGCUGUAAUUUAUAAGGGCACUAGGAUUUAACGAAGCAACUGCCAAUAACUCAUUGUUACGCUCGAACAUGGCCAUUUCUACUUCAUCCAAUGUCACCCAAGCUUCUAUGCCUCCCCAUUUCGAAUCUAGCAACACUAUCAUGUUCUUGAAAUUACUCGGACUCGUCACCCAUAUCGGCUUUCCCCACCCAAAAUCCAUCUCAUGAAAUGGAUAGCCGCAUAAGUUGGUACAAGUAUAGGUGCUGUUGAUGUCUUUGACUUUGCCAUUCAAGAGCUGAGCAAUCUGUUUACGACUCUCUCGAAUUUCUUUGUACCCUUUCUUGCUUUUGAUUCCCUUCACCUUCUCAUUGCAAACAUUGGUGAACUCGUUCUUCAUUUUGGAAACCAGUUGAUGGAGUUCCACAUCGUCCUCAUCGAACAUCACUGCGUAUUUCAGAAUCAAGUUCCCUAUUGUGUUUCCUGGUAAUGGUGGAACCAUUCUUUUCCGCAAGUUCACCACGUUUAGCAACGCGGAUUGCCGAGACCGAGAGGAUGAUCCAUGAGAAUAGGCAGCGGCAGCCGCGCAUUUCAGUAUGAGUGCCAGCACGAUUUCCGCGUCGGUGAUAUUGUGCUGCUGAUGCCCCAUGGCAGCAGCAACUUUGAGUUUGAGGUUUGUGAUUUGUGGUCCGUGAAACAAGAACCUCUUCGACGUGCAAUUUCGAGUCGUGGGCGGAGGAAUGGAUAUGAGUGUUGUAUCCAAAGGUGGUAGCAACGAAGCCCCAACUAGUUUCGGUAACUCCACUCUGCCAUAUUCAUGACCGCUCAUGGCAGUCCAGCUCCGUAUGAAGGUACAAAAAGACGAAGUGUCGGCGAAUUUUUGUGACACCGAGACCGCAACUGCCGUUCCACCACAUGUGAAGCUGGUGAGUUGAACGAGCAAGUUGCAGGCCAAAGUCGAACGGAUGGCUUUAGGAUCAAUCGAUGGGACCAACGACUUAAGCAGCUCAGUAUCCGGAUCAGCAAGCAAAUCCUUGAGUUGGCACCCGGAUUUAGCUUCUAUAAAACAAGCCCCUUCAUCAUUGCACUCGAUAGUUACAGCAUCUUUGAGCUGACCAGCAAGUGGGUAGAAAUAGAGUAGGAUUUUGGACAAGGAGUUUUUGAGGGACUCGGACUUUUGUGAAACAUUCGAAACGUCACCGUCUGAGGGAUAGAAAAACAUGACAGAGCCAUAAUGAAGGGCGAGAACGUCUUGAUCCAAAACAGAAAGAUUGAAUGUUCUGAGAUGGUGAGGUGUGGGAAUGGAGGGUUUGACGGUUUUUCUUGAGACAACUUCAACCUUCAUUUUCUGCAUAUUCCUUUGCCUCCUCAAGCUUAAUAAAUUAAUGCACCCUUGUCUUGGCCUACCGUUCUAUGCCUUUAUAUAGAUAUACACAGAUGCUUUUAUCAUACAUCAUAUUAUAAUAUAUGUACAUAUACAUUCCCAAGAAAAGAAAAAGUCUAAAAAAUUAAGGCUGCUAUUAACAAGAAAUAUAGUCAAUAUAUAUCUUCUUUUAUCAAAUGGUGAUAGCGCAAGAAAGCGUCGGAAGAAUAAAUGAAGUAAAGUUUAUCAGAGAGAAGAUAAUCCUCUCGACAUUGGUGACGGCGAUCUUCAAGAGCCAAAGGAGAAAACUUGUUGAGUAUUAGAGUGUGUAAUUUUCAAAAUGGUUAACUUGUGUUUUUAUAUAAUAUGGCCACGGUUAAUGUCAACAUGUAUCCUAUUUUAAGGUUAACGCAUGUUUUCUAGAUGUGGGUUUGCCUGCAUAAUAGUGCAAACCUACAUUUGUUCACAUACCUUGCGGUCACAUAGAAGGGUACGAACACCUCACGUGUGAACUUAAAAUACGAACCGUUUAGAAUGCAGGUCAAGAUCCAAUCGAGUAAUUGGGUAGCGAGUCUGUAGUAGUGAGUACCAUAACAAAACUGUAUCGGUUAAAGACAACUUAUAGGGAGGCAAAGUAGCCACAAAAAGGAAAGUAUAGGAGGAUAAUGAAUUUGAUCUCAAGCAUAGGGAAGCUAGAAAUUUUGUUUAUAGUGAUAGAGAUAAAAUUAUAAAUUUUUAAGGUCAAAGUUAAAAAUAUUGUGUUUAAAUAUUUAAAUGAAAUUAUUUAUUUUUUAAAGGGCAUAAAUUUUAAUUUUUUUCAUUUAAUUAAAAGCUUAAAAAUUUAAUAUUUUACAAGACUUAAAAUAAUAAUUAUACCAUUUGAUUGAGAGGAGGAAGGCCUUUGCCUGCCCCCUAAUUAAAGUGCAGUGAGUUUUGUUAGGAUUUUUUUACUUGGAUAAUUUUGGUUGCCUUCCCAUUAACAAAUGAUUUUUGGUUUUACUUGAAGUUGGUUGAAUGUGUUUUAUUGAGUCAUUGUUUGUUAUUCUAGAAUAUUUUUGACACUCUUUAUAAUACCCCUCACCUGUGUCGGCGUACGAUACGAAUGAGAAGUGCUAUUGAAACAUUUUAUUGACCUGUACAAAAAUUUUCUUUUAUAAAAACAUCCAUUUCAAAAUCUAACAAUGUCCUUUAAAUCAAUUUAAAAGGAAUGGGAAGGAAUUCAAUACGAUUAUAAACCAUUUCAAAUCAUUGGAUACUUACGAGUGCACGAACAAUCCUAAAACAAAGGUUUGACGACUAUCGACUUAAAACGAAGUCAUUCAGAUUGAGAAAAAUAAAAACUUUAUCAUAAUUUAAAAUUUUAAUAAAAUCAUAAAAAUGAUAUAAAAACAUUUUGAAACUUUAAAAUCAACUUAAAACCAUUUAAAAACAUUUCUCAAGUGAUCGGAGGUGUUCGAAACUAAAUACAUGCCUCGAAAAGGGUAUCAGACCCUUAACCUCCAAAGUUGAAAAUUAAUCUCAAAACACUUAAAAAUCAUGCUUAAACAUAUCCAUAUAUUCCAAAGCAUCAAAAUCAAUUCCUUAAUCAUGUUUCGGGGUCAGAUCCUACUCAUGAAAAUGAAACCCACUUUGUGGCUAGUCGUUUAUUUUUUUAAAAUGUAUCCGAAACAUGAGAUUUAAUCACUACUACCAACAAUAAAUAUCCUGAUUUCAAAAAAAAAAAAAAGAAAAAAGAAGAAACCAUGCGAUACUGUAGUUUAUAAAUUCCAUUGAUGGAUUAAUCUACUUCUUUUCCACCAAACAAAUAAGGCCGAUAUUUACGACGCACGAAUCCUUAAGACCAGUUCCAAGUCUUAUAAUGUUGUUCAAAGAAAUACUACGUAAUUAGUUUAUUAGUUUUGUUUUUAUCAACCAAAAGAAAUUAAAGUCAAACAGAUUAAAUACAAACCCUUGAUUUACUUAAUUUUUUAUUAAAUGAAUUUUAAAGAAAUUUAAUACUCAUAAUGUAUUUAUACAUAUAAUUAUGAAAUUCUUUUAUUUAAUAGUCAUAAUGUAAUUAUUGCAAUUGAUUUUUUCUCCUGAUAAUAUUAUUUUAUAUAUAAUAUUUAAAAUCGAAGCUCUAAUAAAAAUGAAAAUUUUAUUAUGUGAAUGUUUUAAAAAUUUUGGUCCAAAAAAUUGAUCAACUUGAUGAUUAGCUUAAGAGGAAGUUGAUAAUUUUGGAAGGGAUGUGGCUAUUGGAAAUAGGAUUAAUGGUUUAUUUGGAAAUUCAAUUUUUAAAAAAUUAUUUUAAUUUUAAUUUUUUUUUAUUUGUUAGGCUUUAAGUUUGUGGUUUUUGUCUAAUCACUCUAGAAUGGAUGGAAAAAUUAAUGUUUUUUUAACUUUGGUGCACACGGAGAUUACCACGUGAAUGGCACAUCAGCAUUUAAUGUAUUUUUUAAAAUUUAAAAAAAAAUCAAGAAAAAAUAUUAAAAAAUAUUUUUAAAAAUAAAAAAUUAUUAAGAUUAUUAAAAAAAUUAAAAUUAUAAAUUUUUAAUUUAAAAAUUAAUUAAAUGCUGAUCUAUCAUUCUCAUGGCAAUCCACGUGUAUGCCACGCGUUUGUUAACUUUUCCAUCUAUUUUAGCGUAAUUUGACAAAAAAUUACAAGUUCAAAGCUAAAGAGACCAAAAAUUAAAUGGAGAACUAAAAUAACUCUUUUUAUAAAGUUGGAGGACCUAAUAAAUUAUUAUGCCUAGAAAAUAUUUCUCUAGAGUCUAAACCCCCUCCAUUAGUAAAAAAUAAAGGAAAUUUAAAAGCCCAAUGGUAAUAUGUAGGGAGCUUGAACAAUUUUCCUUUUUUUAUUUUUCAUCCUAAACUUAGAAUUAGAGGUGAACAAAAUUUGUUUCAAUUCGAAAAAAUCGAAUUAAAAACUCAAAUUUUGAAUUAAUCUAAUUGAGUUAUUUGAUUUUUUCGAGUCAACUUGUAUAAGUAAUUCGAAUUUUGAGUUCAAGUCAAGUUGAGUUUUAUAAUUAGAAUAAUUCAAAUAACAGACUGGUAUAAAUACCCCUUUGGUUCUUGUCAAUUUUAAAAAUGAAGAAAUUGGUCUCUCUCAACAAAAAUUACAAAAAAAAAUUUAAAAUUCAAAAUAUUUAUAAAAUAUCCUAAAUUUAUAUUUUUUUAAAUAAAAAUAAAAAUUUAAAAAAAAAUAAAGAAUAUAUAAAGAAAGUUAAAAAUUUAAAAAUUUUCUAAAAUAAUAAUUUUGAGAUCUAAAUAAGUUAAUUAAUGGUUUAAGUUUAUCAUACUAAAAUAUUUCUUUCUCUUAUUUUGCUUUGAAUUUUUUUUAAAUAUAUAUGGUUUUAAAUUUAUAUACUUGAACAUGAAAUUAGUUAUUAGUUAUACUGUAAUAACAUUUUAAUUUGGCAUGUUCAAUUUUUUUAAUUUAACUCGGCAAUUUCACUCGAUUCAACUAAUCUUGAUUCGAAAAAAUUUCAAAUUGAAUUAGAAUGAUAAAAUAAAACUCGUCAACUCGAAAUUUUUCCCUUCGAUUCGAUCAAAUGCUAAGCCCUACUUAGGACAAUAUCAUGGAAGACUUGAAAUCAAAAGUGUUCCACAUUUGGUAGACCAAAACUAGAAAAAGAAAUCAAAAUUUUAAAAAGAAAACGAAAAGAAAGGGAAAAGUGGUGGGCUUCAUUCAAGAAUCUCAAUAGUUGGAAGGUGGAGAAGGGUGAGGAGAAGCUAUGGUUUGAGUUUCACAAUGAUCGAAACGGUGAAAGUGAAAGUGAAAGUUUGGAGGUUUUUUUUUCAGAAAUUUUGGUUCAAGGUUUUUCAUUUUGGAAGAGAAAUUUUUAGAAUUAAAUUUAGGGGUGAAGUCAGAAAAUUUUUGGGGUCGAAAUUAAAUUAUAUAUUUUUAUGAUAGUAAAAAUUUAUUUUAUCAUUUUUAAAAACUAAUUUUAUCAUUUUAAUAAUCUAUAUAUUUAUAAUUUUAAAAGGAUUAAACCAAAAUUUUAUCAUUUUGGAGGUCAAAAUGUAAUUUUACUAUUACUAAUUUAAAAUUUUAUAAAUUAUAAAGGGGUUUAAAUAGAAAAUUUUUUAUUUUAGCAGAGGACGAGCCCCCGCCAGCCCUGCUGUCUUUGCCACUUAUUAGACUUGAGGAUGAGAAAGAGGGAGAAGAGAAGAACGACAUGAGGGAGGUUUUGAUCGGAGAAGACCGCCGAAAGACGACGGUGUAGGCAAUGGUCGAACCCAAGUAAUUUUGAGGGAGAAGAAAAUUGUGAGUUUGUGAUGAGAAUUGGGAAAAUAAUGAAUUUUUUAAUUUUUUUAAAUUGAAAAUAUUAAGUUUCUUUUUUUAAUACCAUUUUUUUAUAUUUUUUUAAUAUUUAGAUUUUAAAGUUUCUUUUUAUAAUUUCAUUUCUUUUGAAUUUUUAUUAGACUUAUACCUUGGAAUGAUAUUUAAUGAAUAAAUUGAUAGAAUUUGUAAUAUAGAGAGUUAAAUUUGUUAAAUUAUUUAGAAUUAAGAAUUGAUAGAAAAUAUUAGUGUUGAAGACUAAAUGUGUCAUAAUACCAUUUAGAAAAAUACGAUGUUAUCAUUUCUGUUAACGAUUUAAUAGAAUAUGUCCAAAAUAAAACCGAACCAUAUCAUUAGUAACCCAAAUAGUUAUUUACUUAAUUGUAUAAUUUAAUUGAAAGAAGACUUUCUUGAACAUCUUUUGGCCAAAAUUUCAACGAUGCAUGUAAUUUAACUAAUUAAUUUUCGUCAUUUUCGUAAAAUACAGAUUGGAAUCUUGCAUCAUGGUUUGAUCUUUGAUUGGAUUUACGUGUUCUUUUUUAAUAAAAAAAAAACUAUUAAAAGUUGUACUUCAUUGACUGAUACCGUGACACAAUGCGACACUAUUGCUCGAUCAGAUGCGGGUGUAAUUUAUAAGGGCAUAAGGAUUCAACGAAGCAACCGCCAAUAACUCAUCAUUACGCCCGAACAUGGCCAUUUCUUCUUCGUCCAAUGUCACCCAAGCUUCUAUGCCUCCCCAUUUCGAAUCUAGCAAUACUAUCAGGUUCUUGAAACACGAACCUCUUCGUCAUGCAAUUCCAAGUCGUGGGCGGGGGAAUGAAUGUGAGUGAUGUACUCCAUUGAACAAGCAACCGCGGUUCCACCGCAUGCAAAGCUGGUGAAUUGAACAAGCAAGAUGCACGCCAAGGUCGAACGGAUGAGAGCAUGGGACUAACAAGUUAAGCAACUAAAGAUUGGGAUUAGCUUGACUUAGGCACUUGGAUUUAGCUUCAAUAAAACAAGCCCCUUCAUCAUUGCAUUCGAUGGUUACAGCAUCCUUGAGCUGACCAGCAAGUGGGUAGAAAUGGAGUAGGAUUUUGGACAAGGAGUUCUUAAGGGACUGAGACUUGAGUGGAACAUUUGAGACGACACCAUCUGAGGGAUACAAGAAUAUAACAGAGCCAUAAUGAAGGGAAAGAACAUCUUCAUCUAAAACUGGAAGAUUGAAUGUUCUGCAAGGUCAACUUGAUCCACACCAUUUGAUUCUUAAAAAUAAUAACAGGACACCAUUGAGUUACAUGCGGUUACCAGCUUCGAAAUGAUUAAAUUUCAUGGAACUACAGAAGCUCUAUAUACUUUCCAAGGCUAGCAACAACAUGUACCUGUAAUACCUGCAGAAUAGUAGUUUUAGCCAAUUACUUUAAGCAAUCCCCUUCUCGAUCAGCCUGUCCUCUUAUCCAUGUUCCAGCUCUCGAUCUCUUUAGGUAAUCUGACUUUCAUUGCACCACUUUGAUUUCCUCCUUGUCCUCCUCCCUUGUUGUAGGUUGUAUCAACAAUUAUCAAUAUGGCGAUGUUUUAUCAAUCAGAUCCUUUCGUUGUUAAAAUUUUUAAUUAAAUUAUAAAAUGACAUGCCAAAUCUUACACGGAUAAAUUUAAAGAUAAAAAUGAGCGAUAAAUCUUUAAAAUAUUUAUUUUGCUUAAAAUUUUUAUUUUAAAUUAAGUAUCCGACAUGUUAUUUAACAGUUAAAUUAAUAAUUUUAAUAACGUAAUGACGUAAUUAAUAUAACUUCCACAGUUUAAAAAUAUAAUUAAAAUGAUUUAAAGUUUAAUAACCAAUUUAGAAUAAGAUUCAUAAUCGAUUAACAAUCAGUGAAGGAGAAUUUUAUAUGUUGGAUAAUUGAUUGCCAAUUUGCCACAUAAUCUCAAUUUAUAAAAGUAAAAAAUUUAAGUUGUUAUAUUUCACCUAACUAUGUAGCAGUUGCAAAGACAUGGUGUAGCUCAGCUUUAUGGUCUGGUCAAGAGAGUAGCUUGGUUUGUUUCUACGGGUGAGUUUGGAUGGGCGGUAUGUUUACCUGCGGUUAGUGUAAAAACAAUGGUGGCAGUGAGAUUAGAUACUGUAGCGAUACUGUAGCGUCAGACAAAAAGUAACUAAACGCGCCGCACCGCACCCAAUCGCCUAUCCAAACCCACCGUACAUCUCAUUACACAGAAAAAGUUUAUAUGAUACUUUAAAGAUAUAUGGAGAAAAGUUUUUCACAUCAUUUGUCAAUUUAUCACAUCUUCAAUUUGAUGGGCGUUUCAUCCAGUUCCUUUAAGUCAACUCUAAUAAUACUCUCAAUUAAAAAUCGGCCAACUUAUCACCACACUUGUGAACAUGGUUAAGACCCAUGUCCAACCAAUUUAUAAACACUUUUCAUUUCCAUGAGGUAAAAUCAUUUGGUGGGUUUUAUCGAAUGUGGGAGCAUUUUUAAUAAAGUUUCCCACUCUUGUGAAUUAUGAUUCCUAGUGUAGGGGUGAAGUCAGAACAAUUUUUUAGAAGUCGAAUGAAAUUUUAAUUUUUUAUAGUCUAUAUCUUUAUAAUUUUUAAAGGACAUUUUAAGGGGGCCGAGGCACCUCCCAACCAUAGGUAUUAUUAGGUCCAUAUGAUUUCUGCUACAACCAUAUGGCACCAAGCAAUCACAAGGUUACUGCAUUCGAUGGGGAUUGCUGUCUAUUUGGAAUCAACUAUCAUUCAAUAGGCAAAGGUAAUUUCAGGCAUAAAAGAGGCAAGCACCAUACAAAUUUUUUGCAUAGAAGAGAUAAAGGUUAUGGUUGAAUCAAGGAUCUCAUUCAUGAUAUUUCAUCCUCUGAAUGCACAUAAUUAUAUUCCUUUGAGGUAUUUUAUGUUGUCAAUUUUUGUUAUCUUUGUAUAUAUUACCCGUUGUCAAGCUUUGUUAGAUACCAUAUAUAUUAAUGCAUCUGAAUAGAAAUUCCAGUCAACAACAUAAUACAUAGUAACUUUAGUCCAUUUUUUAAGAAAAUACUUAUCAUUAAUAGGAAUUAUAAACAAGAAAUGCAUAGGCAUGAUACGUACUACAAACGAUAAAUAAAAUACUAUAAAUUGAUGCAUAAAUGCUAUUAUUUAUGAAAAAAAAAACCUCAAAUAUGAAUCAAAUUGAUCAAUUGUUGAUAAUUGCAUUUUAGCAUGUCCUUAUAAGGCCAUCCUAUUGAUGAAUAUCGGCCAACCAAAAAACCAUUGCCAAAAGACUAAAAAGGUCCAUGACAUCAAUGAUACACCAAAAGCCAAGUCCUUUUUCUACCUUUCCCCCUCUCAAAAAAAAAAAAAAUCAUCGACAUCUUGGAGCUCAAUUUUGUGAAAAUCAUACAAUGCUCUAUCAUGAUAAGUCUUCCUAGAAUAGUUUCCAAUAAAUCUAGUGACUCCCUUAUCUUAACAAAUCCAUAUACACACCAAAACAUGACUUGAAAUAAAUAAAUAAAAAUCGAAACCAUCUCUUUUUGAGAGAAAAUAAAGUGGACAAAGCUCCAACUUAACAAAAAUAUAUAUUUUAGCUACCUAUUUAUUUUUAGCUUCUUUUCGCUUUUAAACUAGCGGGUUUUUUUUCCAAAACAUCUUGAAAUUGAUGGAAAAGCCUCCCCUGGGGGCCCGCUAUGCCAAAAGCGAGAGAAACCCCAUCCUCUCUUUCCUUUUUACGCCCCCAUGUUGCCACAUGGGAGGGAUCCUGGGGGCGUAAAAGGGGAUCCUAUCAACUUGUUCCAACCUAGGAUAAUAAGCUCAUGCGCUUGGUCUUACUUCACCGUCGAGAAACGAAAGAAGGCUUCUAUCUCUAAGUUUAAUUCAGACGUAGCUAACUUCUUUUUUGGUGUGAAGCAGUGUCAAACCAAAAUACCCAACAAACAUUAACUCCCCUAAAAAGGAGGUGAUCCAACUGUAUCUUCCAGUACGGCUACCUUGUUAUAAUUUCACUCCAGUCACUAGUUCUGCCUUCGACAUCCCUCAACUCUACAUAUAUGUCAUGUCAACAAUUAAUUAAUUUUUUAAAAUACUAAAAAUUAUAGAAUAUUAUUAUAAUUUUAAUUAUUAAAUAAUUAAAUUUUAUAUUUUUAGUUUAAAAAAUAAUUGUUAGUGUGACAUACAUAUAUAUUUUAUAAGAAAACCAUGUCAGUAAAAUUAAUAUUAAUUUUUCCAUUCAUUUUAGAAAAAAAUUAAAAAAUAUUUAACAAACAAUACAUCAUUUUCAACCCAUACUUCAUUUUCCAAAUUUAAUAUUUUUAUACAUGCAAUGUUUAUAAAUUGAUCACCUCCGCACAGUCCUUCCGCCAUAUUUUCUUUGCCAAAAUGUGUUCCAAAUCCAAGGCCAUCGCCUCCUGCAUCAUCAUCGUCUUCCUCCUCCUCUUCACAUUUUCUUCUUGUGCUUCAGCCGCCCGCCCUCAACCUGCAGCUCCAUACGCACAUCAUGCUACUCCAAUCAAAGUUCAAUACCUGGUAUUUGUAAAUACAUACAAAAAUCUCUCUCCUUUUUCUUCCUGCUCAUCAUCAAGACAUCAACAACUGUUUAUAUAAUUAAUUUGUUGAAGGAAGGGAAGGUCUUCUACUGAUUUGAUUCUUUGGUUUGCAGGUUGAAGAAGAUAGCUGCGAUGGAAUAGAGGAAGAAGAACGCCUGAUGAGAAGAACACUUGCUGCUCACCUUGAUUACAUCUACACCCAGAAGAACACCAACCCCUGAUUUUCACUUCCCACCUCCACGCUUUUACUUUACAUGUACAUGAACUUGUGUAUCAUGUUCGAUCUUUAGUUUUGGAUGUUUUUAUUAUAUAUGUACUGAAUAAGCUUAGUGUUGGAUUCUUCUAUUCAUGUAGGUCAACCUUUCUGGUUGUGAGCUCUGUAAUACGUAUGUUCAUGUCCCCGAUAUAUUCUCUCUAUAAUAUUCGUGUCUGAUAUAUAAAUCAUUUGCAAUAUUAUCGUACCACCAUUUUACAUAUAUAUUACAUACACAAACAAUUAUAUUAAUUCAAUAUGUAAAUAAAUAUAUACAAUUGAAUCAAAAUUAAAAUUUAAUGUGUACAUUUGAACCACAAUUAAAGUUAUGUAUUGAAUUGCACAUUAAAACAAAGUUCAUGUGCGGUUUCGAUAUUAGAUGCUAUGUUUGCCAGUGAACCAAGUAAUGAUACAUAGCCAAAAAUGUAGGCUCAUUAAGGGAUAGAUGUUGGUCACAAGUUUUAAAAUUGCUCCAUCCCCAGGGUGAGGAUCAAACUCUCAACCACUGGUUAAGAUAAGAAAGACUCCUUACUAUCUCACCUAACUACCGUAAUUAGAAUUCGAUUAUUUUAACCAAAUGAGAAUAAUAUAUAGUAAAUAAAAAGGUAGGACUAGGUGAAUGCCUGACUUUUUCCAUCUUCACAUUGAAUUAUCCUUUGGUUGUUUCUUCUCUAGCACCAAUGUAAUAACAGAGCUAAAUCCUCAAUUUUGGGGUGCAUAAAAUCCGGUAAAAAAUUAAAUAAAUGUACUUAAUUGCUAAAAUACAAAAUAAGGUCAUCUCUAUUCUUUCAUCAUUCGGUCAUUAAUUUGCAAGUAAAAACAAGGAUUAGCUAAUAACCAAGCAAACAUUUAGUUUAAAUUAGUAAACAUCAUCAUAAUUUUAUAUAUUAUAAAGAAAAUUAUCUUCUAUGAUCACUUUAGUUUUAGAUUUCAAGAGUGUAUACUUGGAUUUUCAGUAUCGGUAUUCAUAUUGAGUUUCGAUUAAAUUUAGAGUUGAGUCAAAUCGGACUCUUAAAACGAGGGACAAAGUUUUCCCGAAGCUGUUUUUUCCUUUUACAUUACUCAAACUCAAAACAUUACUUAAGAGACCUUAGCUGAUACAUAUCUUUUAAAAUGUAAGUAUUAUUGGAAAAAUCUUUGUUAUUGUUUAGUCCCUUAGACCCUAUGGUGAAGGAAUGCACAUUGGACUUGGACCAUAUUGCAAUAAAAUCUUGUUUUAUGGACCAAAUUAAACUAAUUAUAAAUGCAGUUGGUACAUUUAUAAAGACCCAUCUUCUUCAGCCACAUAAAGUCACAUGGCUAACAAGCUCUUGCUCUUAUCUAGUUUAGGGUCGAAAAUGAAUAAUUUGAUUGUUAUAUAUCAACCAUCCAAUUGAGAGACCAUAAUUGCUAUGGCAACCAUAGCCACAAGUGCUUCAAAGUUGAUUGUUAUAUAUCAUACUAGUUUUUUUCUGCAUCGAUUCAUCGUAUAAAUGUAUUAAUUAAAAAUAGGUUUAAAUACUCAUCUAACUUCUAAAUUUGUCACUUUUUUUAAGUUCAUACUUAUGGGGUUUUUUUUUUUUCUUAAAUUAGUAUCCGAAUUUUAAUUCCAUCAAGAAUUUUGAUACUUUUUUUAACACCGUUAAAUUUGGCACACGUGUCAAUUAACAAUUUAUUGUGUCAAUUAAUAUUGAUAGAAUUUCAUGAAGAUGAAGAUUGGAUUCCAAAAUUUGUGUUUGAUUUUAAUGUAUUUUGAUUUAUAAUUUUUAAAAUUUUUUGUUUAAUUUUUUAAAUUUAAAAUUUUAAAUAUAAAAAAUAAUAUUUUUGUUUAAAUUAAUUUUUGUAAUUUUUUUUAAAAUUUUAAUUCAUUUAUAAUUUAUUUAUGAUUAUUUAUAUAUUUUUAUAAUUAUUAGAUUUUUUUAUUUUUUUAUGAAAAAUUGAAUUAUCACAUCAUCAAUGACAUGUGUAGAGGUGCUCAUGGGCCGGGAGGCCAGGUUCGGCCCGACGGCCCGCCCGAAAUAUGAGAGGGUUCGGGUGAAAAUAUAGGCCCGAAAUAUAGGUUUGGGCAAAAAAAUGAGACCCGUUUAGAAAACGGGCCAGGCUCGGGCACCACUUUUUUGGCCCGAGAUUGGCCCGGCCCGACCCGAAUAUAAUAAAUAUAUAUAUUUUUAAUUUUUUUAACUUUAAAAUAUUUUAAAAUACUUUUUUUAUUUUUAUUGUUGACACCAUUUUUUGAUGAAAAUGGGGUCGACUUAGAUUUUGAAAAUGAAAACGGGAGUCGCCACCAAUCCUUUUUGAGGUGUGACUGGAUCACCUUGAAAAGUGGUUGUUUUUAAUAAACGAUUUACUUUUAUUAAAACAAUGAUUUUGGUCCACGAAAUUCAAAAAAAGGGGUUCGGGAGUCGGUUACGCACGAUGAAGGAUUAACACCCUCGAUAUGCCAAAAAAUUGGUACCUAGUUGAUUAUUUAAUGUCUUAAUGUCGAAAUGCUGAAAACUUUAAAGAAAUUUAAAAUACAAUCCUUAAAAAAACUCGAAUAGCAUGGAUUAAAAUUCAAGAGAAUAUUUUGGUAAUUUGUUUAAAUGAGAAAUCGAAACCCAACACCUUAAGAUACGUUCCUCAAAUUUUCAAACGCAAAACAUUGCCUUAUUUUGAAAUUUUUAAAAGGAUAUUUAGCCAUUUGGUUGAACGAGAAAAAUCGACACCCAGCACUUUAGAGCAUGUUUUCUCGAAUUUCCAAACGCGAAUGAAAAAUGCUUGUUUAAAAUAUAUUUAACAAUCUUGGAUUAAAAAAGAAAUCAAUACCAGUAAGUUAGGACACGAUCCUUUUUUAAUUCCCGAUAUCGUUUAAAACUUGAGUUUAGAAAGAUUCGUGUCUUUAGAUUUAUUGUGAAAAUAGAAACCCAGUAAGUUAAGGUACGAUCUUCUCGAAUCUAAACACGAAAUGCCAUUUUUUAAAGCAAAUUUUGUCAUAUCGAGCAAAAGAAAACACAAAAUCGUAGUAAAGAAUGUAAAAACAAAUUACAUUUUUAUUAUGCAUGGUAAAACCAUAAUAAGUAUAAAAAUGAUACGAGCAAUAGCAACAAUAUAAAAGAUCAAACCUACAAUAUAUAAAAUAACAAAAUAUAAAACGAAUAAAAUCAAAACAUACAUUCAAAAUAAUAAUGAAAAUAAAAUAAAUAAAUAGUGAAUACAAUUAAAAACGUAAAAAGGUAUAUAUAAAUUAAAAUAUGUAUGUAUAUAUAUAUGUAUAUAAAUAUAUAUAAAUUAUGCUAAUAAACAUAAUAUAAAAAUAUGUGUACAUAUAUUUACAAAAGUUAGAAAUAUGUACGUGUAUAUGUAUUAUAAAAAGCAUGUAUAUUAUAAAAAUAUAUAUACAAGUGCAUAUAUAUAACAAAAUUUGAAGUUUAAAAAAAAGUAUAAUAAGUAAAUAAUAAUAAAUAAAUAAAUAAAUAAUAGUAAUAAUAAUAUUAAUAAUAACAAAACAAUGGUAAAUAAAAGUAAUAAAGAUAAUAAUAUUAUAGCAAUGAUGACGUUAAUAAUAAUAUAAAUAAUAAUACCAAUAAUAAAAAUAAUGAUAAAAUAGCAAAGAUAUGAAAAGGGACUAAAUUGAGCUAAAAACAAAAUUUCGGGGCAAAUUCGAAAUAAAUAAAAAGGUAAAAGACCAAGAUGAACGUGAGAACAACAAGAAGGGGACAAAUGGGAAAUAAUCCCCACUCUCCAAAACUCGCAGGUUCAAUGGGGACUAAGCUGGAAACCAAAACAAAUUAAUGGGGCCAAAUUAUAAAAACACUGGAGACCAUAUUGCGCUAAGGCGCAAAAGGGAAGGGACCUCAUGCGCAAAUAUUCCUUCCCACACGAAAACGCGCGGAUCCCAGCUGUAUCGGGUCGGGUUUGGGCCGAUCCAGGCCUAAACGGCGUCGUUUUGCGCCUGGAGAGCCCACCCUAAAACGUCGCCAUUUUGCUAACAAUAUAAAAGCCUAAUUUUUUUUUCUCAUUUCAGCAGUUUUGUUUCAAAAAAAGGUUAGAAAACUUUCUUUUCUCUCUAGCUUCUACUGGCCAUUGCCCAGAUUCCGGCAUGGGGGUCGUCGUCUGCUACCGUCGGCCACCGUACACGGUGGCCGGAUUUCAAGGUAAAAAAAAAUUUCCCUCAUUUUUUUAUUUUAUAUUAUUGAUAUCUAAAAUAAAUGAAAAAAUAAGAGAUAAAAAAAAAACGCGAAUCUAAUAAGAAGAAAAAAAAAACCUUUAAACUUGCUUUUUGUUUUUUAUUUCAAAUGUUCAUAGCAAAACCAAAGAAGAGAAAACUCUUCUUCUUUUUACAGCAAACUCGACUUUUUGCCGAAAAGAAAAAAGAAAAAUCCCCCCUUUUACGGUAGAUUUUCAUGGCUCUUAUAGCCAUUUACAAUUUUCUAUUAUUUGCUUGUUGUUGCUGCUUUUUUUUUGCUUGUUUGCAGGUGGGCAGUUGGGAGCGGGUGAGGAGGCCGUACGGUGGCAGAGUAGGUGGUGGCAGCGGCGCACAGGGGGCAGGUGGUUGAAGGCUAAAGGUCAGAAGACCCUAGGAGCGGCGCCUAGGGUUCUUCUGUUUUCUGCUAGGUUUUUUUGUUUUGGGUUUUGGGCUGAGGUGAGGCUAUUGGACCUGUUAGGGCAAAAUGUUGGGCUUGCUGUUUGUUGUUUGGGCAGGGCGAAACUGGGCUGCUACAUUUGUUUUUAAAAUAAAUUUUUAGUGUUUAUUAAAAAAAUAGGCUGGGUCGGGUCGGGCUCGGGCUUAGGAAUUUUUUCUCGGGCUGGGCCUAGAUAAAAUUUUAUGCUCAUAUUUCGGGCCGGGCCCGGGCCUAAGACGUGGGCCAAAAAUUUUUUCUGUGCCCGGCCUGACCCAGUCCAUGAGCACCUCUAGACAUGUGGCACAGUCUUAGAGUGCCACGAGUGCAAAACUUAACGUUGUUAAAAAAAGUACCAAAAUUCUUGACAAAAUGAAAAUUCAGGUACUUUAGGAAAAAAUAAUCACAAGUACCAAUUUGGGAGAAAGUGACAAAUUCAAGGGUUAAAUGAGUAGUUAAGCCAUUAAAAUAUAUUAGAUAAUUUUACCUUUUAUAUAUAUAUUUUUGGAAAAUAUGAUAAAGAAAUUGACACGUCAUAUUUCUUAGGUCAAAUAUUUUAAAACUAACAAAUGAUAUUAGCAGGUCAAAUGUAAAUAUAUAUAUAUGAAAAUUUUAAUUAUGAAAAUACUUAAAGUAAUAAAUAAUUCUAAUUAUAUUAUUAUUUAAAAAUUAAAAAUUAUUGGGUGAACUACAUUAGUAGUCGCUCAAUUAUUAGUAAAUUUCUUUCCUAAUCACCUAACUAUGAAAAGUUACAAAAUGGUCACUCAACUAUUCAAUUUUAUCUAUUUUGGUCACCCAUCUAUCUUGGAUUUUUGGGUGCUCCCGUUUUUACAUUAGCUAGUUGGUGAACAAAAAAGACAAAAUUGAAUAACUGAGUGACCGUUUUUUUAACUUUUUAUAGUUUGGUGAUGAAAAAUAAAUUUACUUAAUUGAGUAAUCAUUUUGUAAUUUUUCAUAGUUAGAUGAUAAAAAAAUCAUAAUUGGAUGAUCUCUAUUGUAAUAUACCCAAAAUUAUUAGUGUGUAAAAUCAAAAGUGAUUCAAAACACUUUAAAAUGUACAUAGGGAAAUUUUAUCAAAAUUGGUGGGCUAAUUUGACUUUUUCUAAUGUUUCAUAGGGAAAUUUUAUCAAGAUUUCUAUCCAACUCUCAAAAUCUAAAAGAAAGAUUCAAUCAAUCAAUGGAGUUAUGGCUUUAUAUUUGAAUCCAACAGUUCAUGUUGAGAUUUUCUUAUAAAAUUAUGAGAGGCAUGCUUCACAUUCGCACCAAAUAAUUGAGGGCUUCUAUCUUUCUUUUGAAAAAUGAGAAGAAGAAAAUUAUUAUUAUAUGAAUUUUUGUGAUUUUGGGGCUUCACACUUCAAUGGGAAAAGUGUUUUUGUUUCCAAACAUAAAGGUAGAUUGAGUUUUAGCUCGAUUGAUAUGAGUUUUGUUGUCAAUGUAGGAGAAUGUGAGUUCGAGUGUGCUGCAGUGCAUUAUCCUUUUAUUUAUGACUUGGGAAAGAACUAUGGGUAGUUCUAAAUUUAAAGGACUAAUAUAAACAAAAAAAGUUUAAGGACUAAGUUAAAGAAAAAUUACCAAAUUUAUAGAAUAUUAGAUAUUAUCUUAUCCCUAUGUUUUGAAUAUACAUAAUUAUAGGCUAAAUUAUACUAUUAGCCCUUAUACAUUAAUUUGAUCAAUUUUAAUCACUUUACUUUUCGGAUCGGUCAAUGUUAUUCCUUUUACUUUUUAAUUUUAAAUUUUUAGUUCUGAACCAAACAAUAGUAGCUAAAUUUGUUUAGUUAAAUUCAAUUAUUAGUCCUGUACUAUGAUUAUAGUUGUAGAUUUGGUUCAUGUUCUCCAAUUGGAUCAUUUUAAGUCUCAUAUUUUUUUUAAUUUUGAAAUUUCAGUUUUGACGCAAAUGACAAUCGUUAAUCCAUUAACUGGAUUUUUAGUGAAUAAUAUAUGGAAAUAACAAGUUGACAUAUCAUUACAAAUAUUAUAACAUUUUUGGCACAUCAAUCUUAAAAUAACAAACUUAGCUUAAUAAAUUUAACAGUUAUCAUUUAAUGAGGAACGAAACUUUAAAAUUUUAAAAAUACGAGGAUUAAGAAUAAUCAAAUUAAAGUAUAGAAAUAAAUCUACAACUUUCGAAAAACAGGGACUAAUAUCAAAAUUUAACCCAUAACUAUAUUCAACAUUUGCUAAAGCAGCCAUCUUAAUAAUUUUUUAUGUUGUUUCACUAUACAUCGAGACUAAUAUUUUUAGGAUUCGUAAUUACUCCUCUUAACAAUAUCGUCUUUAAAAUUUGAAUCUAAAUAUUAUUUUUAAAAGUAUAAUAGAUUUUAUCAUCACACACAACGUUGCUAUAAAUUGCUUGGUUUUUGAGUAAUGUAUGUUAGAAUUUUUUUAGUUGCCCAAAGAAAAUGAGCUUUACGAGACCUUUUCGUAAGAUGCAGAGAAGAUAGUACAGGGAUCAUAUGGUUUUACUUGAAGAUUGUAAAAGUUGUGCCACUGUCAUUGGAUUUGAUUAUAAUUAUAUUUGCAACUCGAUUGAAUAAAUUUGUUUAAAUUUAAAAAUUGUAUGUUUGAUGUAAUGAUUGAGUGAAUUUAUUUUUACGAUUUCGUAUACAAUGCUUAGAAUCAUCUAUAACUCCUCCUCAAUUUCUAAAUACGAAGAUGAUGCGCUAAAGUUCACUCAAACUCAUGUCCUCUUGCAUUGACAACAAUACUCAUGCCAAUCGAGCUAAGACUCAAUCGGCUAUUCGUUGUGAUUUUUUAUCAUCAUAACUAUUACUGAAAAGUAGAGGUAUUCAUAAGUGAAAGUCAUAAGUGCCAAGUCGUAACUUUCACAUAUGAUAAUUUUUUAUGUUUGAUGCAUUGCAUUGCCCAUGAUAUCUUUCACGCAUGACCUUAAAAUGUUGAGAAUCCGAUCAUAGUUAAUGAGAUUUUGAUAGUGUUGGCAAAGGUUGAGGCCCUAAGAUAUUGAUGUCUCAAAUUCGACCCCCGCCCAAUAUAAACUUCAAAAAAUUACAAAAUUAUCAUUGAACUAUUCACAAUGUCUGCACCAAUCAAAAAUUCUUAUUCCUCUUCUCUUCUACAAUUCAAUUUUUUUCAUGAAUAAGCUUUGAACGUCAUGAAUUAGUUAAUCAAAAUCUAAGUAGCUUUCUUCUUCGAUCUCCGACACUAAUCGUCAUAACAAUUUGGAUUUACGAUAUGUUCUGUUACUCAUCAAAGGACACUAGUCCAUUUUGUAAAUUUUUAAUAUUAAGUGAUCAAAAUAUAAAUUUACCAAUAAUUCACUUUUGUAACUUACUCAGAAAACCAAAAUGGUUAAAGAUUUAAUUGAUGGAUGAAUGCAAUUUCAAAUAAUUUUUCCAUCAAUAAUCUAAAGUUAGGCUCCCUCUCACUCACCAUAAUAAUUGUCAUUUAUUUGUUCAAAAAAAAGACUUAAAUAGUCCCCAACCACCCUAAUAUAGCCCAGCCAGCCAUGGAAAAUGUGCUAUUUUCAAAUUGCUUGAUUUUUGCUAUUUUUAAAUUUUAAAUUCUAUUCCUUUCUCAUACAUUUGAAUUAUUUUUUUAAUUAUUAAAAAACUUUAUUCAAUAUUUUAAGCCAACUUUUAAUAAGUCCCUUUUUCAUCUGAAUCAAGUUUCAAUUUUGUAUUUUUAUCUUCGAAAAAUUAUUUUAUGGACUCUUUUCAUGUCCUUUUUCAAUUAUUUAAUAAUAUUUCAAUAAUUCUUUUGUCAUUAGCACAUCAUUUUUAUAAUUUUUGUACCCAGAAUCCUAAUACCAGAACUUGAACACUAAACUUUAAAUCUUGAACCCAGACUUUAGGAUCAAGGUUCUAAGUUCGAAAUCAGGGUUCAGGAUUCAAAGUUCAAGGUUCAGGGUAUUAUCAAAAUGAUAUGUCAAUGACAUAGAAAAAUUACUAACAUAUCAUUAAAUAAUUGAAAAUGAACUAUAAAUGAUGUGACGGGAAAGGUCCAUAAAAUAAUUUUUAAACUUAUCUUCAUAUAUUAAUUUUUAAUGAAAAAUAUUUUAUUAUUAUAUAUUAGUUACGAUUUUAUCACCUAUAUGCGUGCACAUUAUUUUAUUAAACCGUCCCUGCAUGUGCACGAUUACGUUAAUUUUUUAAUUAAAAAGAAUAAUAAAAACCAGUACAUUCGUCGUCUCAUAAGGUUGAAUUUGAUGAAAUAUAAUCAUUUUUCUUUUAUUUAACAAUUAAAGUAGGGUUUAAUUCACAAGACAUCCUCAACUAUAGUUCCAUUUUUAAUUCAAUCCCCAAAUCUCAAAAUAUUCUAAUUUAGUUAUCAAAAUGUCAAAAUCAUUUCAAUUAGAUCCUUCCGUCAAUCUACACAUUAACUUAGAUGUUAAAUAUAUAAAUACCUACUGUAUGGAUAGUUUCGAUUCGAGAUGUUAAAAAAAAUCUUAUUAACACGACAUAUCUAAACUAUCCAUAUAAUAAGUAUGCAUGUGUUUAUAAAAUGCUCUGUAUCAAAUCAAACAAUCAUUUAACACCUAAAUUGCCUACUAAACUAAUGGAAGUCUAGUACUCCAAUAAUUAAUAGUACUUUGAAAUUCAGGGACCAACUUAAAAUUUGGUUAUAGUUCAGAGGGUAUUCGGUUGAAAUUAACCCAAAAAAACAAGUCAAGAAACACACUAAUGAUGGCAAUACAGUAAAUAUAUUCAAACACAAAGCCCAUUUAGCAACAGCAAUCCCCAUAAAAACCGCGUCAAAGCUCCACAAAUAAUCAAAAGCUUCUGAAUCCAAAAAAAAAAGAAGCUUAUUGAAACGAAACUUUGAAGGCAAAGAAGAACAAGUAAGAAGCAAGAAAAUCAAGUUCCCUUUUUCGCCUCGCCAUUGAUUUUUUUUCCGGUUCAGUGGUACAAAAAUGGCGAACCAGUUGGAGAGCUUAGUGGAAACGAUAAAAUCAAAAGUAAGAGCUCUGAAGAAGAAAUCAAAGAACAAUAAACCGUAUAUAAAGAUGGAUAAAAGCUCCAGCGUUAAAGUAGAGAUCCGUAGCAGGAAAGCAAGAAAACUUAUCGAUAAGACUCUCAAAGCCGCCGAUCGACCUGGAAAACGUACCAUUUCGUGACCUUUUUUUUGUUUCAUUUUAUUCUCUCCCUUUUUUUUCAAUGGAAUAUACAAGUCUGUUUCUGCAUUCUUUUUUCUCCGUUUUUUAGAUUUCGUAUAUUUUGAUCUUUUAUUUGAAAUGUUAGCCAACAGAUUGCGUGCGUGUGUGUUUUACGUUACAUGAACCGUUUUCUAUGGUUUUUAUUUUAGAUCCGAUGAAGUAUGAGCUUUGAUCUGAGAGCAUGAAUAUAACAUGCAAUACGUGCAGGAUUAUGAUAAUUAUAUUAAUAUAAAAUUUUUAAACAUUUAUGAUAUAAAUAUAUUAUAAUGUUGCCAUUGGAAUUUUUUUUUGUAGAGGAUGAAAUUAAAUUAUAUAUUUUUAUAAUAUUAAAAAUAUAAUUUUAUUAUUUUAAUAUUUUAUAUUUUUAUAGGAUUAAAUCAAAUUUUUAUUAUUUUUAGGAGUUAAAAUAUAAUUUUAUUAUUAAUAAUUUAAAAUUUUAUAAAUUAUAAAAUAUUUAAAUAAAAAAAAUUUCAUUUUAAGGCCUACACAAUCCUCCCGAUGGAAAACUAAAUAAAAUAGAAAUAAUUUAAAAAAAAAAAGAAAAUCGAAUACCUCGAAAAUCAAUAUAGUUUUUAUUUUUAUUUUAUUAGUUGUAACUGAUCGUCAACGAUAAGGUUGUAAGCAGUUCAGUUUUUAUUUUUAAUUUUUUGCAUUUGAAAAUUUCUCUUCCGAUUUUAUUUCAUUCAUGGUUAUCAAAAAGAUAAAUAGAAUAAAACAACUUUUUAAAAAAAUAUAUUUUGAUUGAAAAGCAUAUAAGAUUUUUAAAAAUUGUUAAAAAUGCCAUAGAUAUUUCUGCUUUUUAUAAAUUUAAAUUUUGAAUUUGAAUUUAAAUUUUUGUAUUUUUAUUUAUAGAAAUUUAGUCUCUUUAUUUUUAAAUUUUCAAAAAUCAGAUGUAUUUGUUAACACUAUUAAAAUUAUUUUGUUAACAAAUGUAUUUUUUUUAAUUUCAAAAUGUGACACCAACUAAUUUAAAAUUUUUUUGACAAAGUUAACAAUUGAGUCAUUAUUUCGAAAUCUUAAAAGUAGAGAGACUAAAUUCUAGAUUUAUGAAGAGUAUAAGGACCUAUGAUAUUUAAUCUCAGAUUAAAUAACUUUCUGGGGCUUGAACUUGGCAAUUAUUUUUCACAUUGGGGCUUGAACUUUUUUUUUGGUCCAAGUAAUUUGGCCAUGAACUUAACAAUUAUUCUCACAUUAAGGCUUGAACUAGAUAAUUGUUCUUAUAUUCUGGCUUGAGUUUUUUUUUGUCCAAUUGUUCUCAUAUUAAAGUCUGAACUUGACAAGUGUUCCCACAUUAGAGGAAAGAAUUGCCAAAUGCAGGGCCUAACUUGCACAAAAAAAAAAUUAAUAUCUAAUGUGGGAAUAAUUGCCAAGUUUUAGCCUCACUUGGACAAAAAAGAAUUUUAAAUCCUAAUACGAGAAUAGUUACUAAUUUCAAGCCCCCAAAAGUAUCUAACCCUUUAAUCUAAAGAAAAGAAAGAAAGCAAAUUAGUAAAUGUAGUAGUGUUACUUGUUGACAUUUUAGUUGUGGAUAUGUGUUUGACUUUGGUAAUGAAUCAGAACCGUAGAUCAGAGAUGGAGUAGAUAGCAGAUAGUCCAAGAUCUUAUUAGCUCAGUGGUCCAUGUGGGUGAAUGACAGUAGCUGAUAUGGUUCCAAUUUUCAGGGUUUGGUUUUGUCAAUGAGAUUUAUUUAUUGUUGACUUGGGAAACUGGACCGGUCUUCUGUGCAUAGUAUUAUUGCGCCCAACUUUUUUAGGUUUCAUUAAUAUUUAUUAAUUUAGUUGAUGUUAUUGGUGUAACACUUCUCAUUUUAAAUUUAAUUGAAAACUAAUCGAAUUAAUUGGAGUUAGUUUGAUUGGGUUAAUUAUUUUCAUAAAAAAUAUAAUUAAGGUUCCGUAAGAUUAUUGGGGAUAAAAUUUUAGGCUCAUAUUUUGGGUCGGGCAGGGCUUGGGUAAGCAUAAAAUAUGUUAAUAUCAUGCUUAGGUCAAACUCAAACUGACCCAGCCCAUGAACACUUCUAUUAGAAUGUAACAUUUAGAUGUUUGGUUGACAAAAUGUAAGAUUACCUUAGAAACACGUUUUACUCAAUUGCCCUUUAUAGAAUUUGUAUUUUUCUAACAAGUUUAGUUGCUUUAAUAUUUUUAGUCUCAAAAAUUAUAAUUAAUUAUUACAGUUCUUACUUGUAUUACAAUUUAUAUAUUAAUAAGUAAAUAUAUUGCGUUGAAAUGAAUUUAUAAAUUAUAAUUAUAAUAAUAUUGCAACCCCAACUAUAAUUAUAGUUAUAACUAUAAUUAAUAUAUUAAUAAAUUAUUAAAUAAAAUAUAAUGAUUAUAAUUGUAAUGUAUGAUAUCUACUAAUUCACUAUUACGAAAAAAUAUUUUUUUUUGUUUUUAAUUAGUCUUAAAAUUUAUUUUUAAAAAACUUAAAUUAAUUAAAUUAAUAAAAAAACAAAUUGGUCCAAACACUACACCAAAACAGGUCUUUAGCGGCGCUUUUUAACGCCACCAAAGGUAUUUGCGGCAUUUCCAGAAGCGCCGCAAAAAAGGCCGCUAACGAAAACGUCGCAAACAUUUGCAGCGUUUACAAACAAAACGCCGCUAAAGACCAUGUUCUUUAGCGGCGCUUAGAAAAAAACGCCUCUAAAGACCAUGUUCUUUAGCGGCGCUUAGAAAAAAACGCCGCUAAAAACCAUGUUCUUUAGCGGCGCUUAGAAAAAAACGCCGCUAAAGAUCAUGUUCUUUAGCGGCGUUUAUUCUUAAGCGCCGCUAAAGAACAUGAAAAAUAGUGGCGUUUUUUUUUAAAACCCCGCUAAAGAACAUGUUCUUUAGCGGCGCUUUUAUACAAAAACGCCACUAUUUUUGGGAUUUUUUAUAUUAAAUUUUUCAUUUUUUCAGCCUCAUGUAGCAACAAAUCAAAAGGAACCAGAUUUAAACCAGCCAAAAGCAAUAAAUUUAUAUAAUAUUUCAAAUUAAACGAAUAAAAUAAUAUUAAUAUCAAUAAAUAAAGUGAAUUCAUAGUAUUUUUGCAAAAUGUUAAAUGUAAAAAUGAUAAAAAUAUUUAUGUCAUACACUAUGAAGGCGGAAGUUGCGACUAAAACAUCUUCAUCACAGCCUGAAGCUGUUGCUGGAGUUCGUCGUACUUUUUGGCCUACUCUGCUUCUCUCGCUGCCGCCUCUGCUUUAAGUUGUAGCUGGAGUUCUUCAUAUUUCCUUUGAACCUCAACUGUGGUCGCUUGCAUCUCAGCCAUUUGGUCUUUCAACAACUUCAGCUUGAGCCUGACUCCCCGAAGCCAUGUAUUGGUGGGAGUUGGAUCCAAAAUAUUGGGUUGGGCUAACAAAAGAUCCUUGAAAUCGAACCCGACCAUACCUUUUCAGGACCCAAAACUUCAGUAAUAAUCUGNNNNNNNNNNNNNNNNNNNNNNNNNNNNNNNNNNNNNNNNNNNNNNNNNNNNNNNNNNNNNNNNNNNNNNNNNNNNNNNNNNNNNNNNNNNNNNNNNNNNNNNNNNNNNNNNNNNNUAUAUAUUAAAAACAUAUGCAACAUAACAAUAGUUGCAUUACAAGCAAUGAAUUAAACCAUUAGAAAAUAAACACUAAAAAUAACUAAAAUAAGUCAAAUCUUAUUAAGUAAACGUACCAUUAUUUCACCAGCUUCAGGAGUCAUGGGAGAUCCAUCUUUCUUCCUAUGUGUAAUUUCAAAAAGUUGAAGGCGUCCAACUUUUUGACCGGACGAUAGUUCCUACAAUAUGGUAGUAUAAAUAUUAUUUAACAGAAAGUUAUACAUAUUCGACAAUAUUAAAAAAAUUAAAAAUACCUCCGCCUCAGCUACAAAUGCAAAACUUCUCGACCCGGCUGUGUGGGUGAAUUUUUGUUUCUGCCUGCUGCUUUUUCCAACUUGUUCACGAUCCUACGUUAUGAAAUUUUUAGUACGUAAAUAGAAAAUACUAUAAACCAAAAUAAUUACAAUAGUUUGGAAGUACGUCAUACCUCGCCUUUCUUCGAAUGCCAAAAUCUAACCGCAUCUUCCCAUUGGUACCUCAACAUACCCGGCGGGACAUUUUGCAAUUUCUCAUCUAGGGUUGUUUUUGUUUUAUAAUAUUUUUUCUUCAAAGUACUUUUAUUGUCUCUCCAUCUUUUUCCCAAUGCUUUCUUUACGUAAGCAUCUGAGACCUCUAAAGCAAACCUCGCCUACAAAAAACAAAAAACACAAGUUAAUAAAGUAAAUAUAAAUGAAACUAUUUCCCAAGCAUUACAGAUGGCAUUAACAUUUUGUUACCUUAAUAUUAUCGAGGGCUUGGUUUUUGUUGCUUUCGGGCAUUUGAUGCCAUGACUCGUAGUUGAUAGGCAACAUAUUCGCAUUUCGUGCUAAAAUGCCCAUGUAUCUUGCUAAAAGUCGAGCUUCUGAUCCAACAGGCUGACCAAAACUGUUUCUGCCAACUUUGACACGCUCGAACUGGAUCUAACUCGUAUAACUCUCUAAGUAGCGUACGUCCUCGACCUCUGCGCGUCCCACCAUUUUCAGCUACAAAUGGUAUAUUAUAAUAUAAGAAUUUGAAAAAUAAAUCAACUAUAACAGAAACACGCAUGUAAAUUAAACGUAAAAUUACUUUGAACUUCUGUAGGAUCCUCAGCUGUAAUCGGAACAUUCGAAGAUCCAAUUGCUGUCUGUUGUUCAGUACUAUUUGUCUCUGUCGAGUUAGGAUCAUUCCUCGUAAUGCUUCCCCUUAGAAUUUUUCUUCUAGGCAUUUUAUCUGCAAUACACAUAAAAUAGUUGACAACUUAAUAACUAAUUACAACAAUAUCAGCACAUAUAAAAUAGUUGAAAUAUAUAAUAAGACCAAGAUUUAAAUUAUAAUAUAUUACAUAUAAAUAAAGAAUCGUAAAAUCUUACUAUAUCAUUAUUCGUAAAUAUCUUCAUCGGUAUCCUGACGAACCCAUUGAAAUUNNNNNNNNNNNNNNNNNNNNNNNNNNNNNNNNNNNNNNNNNNNNNNNNNNNNNNNNNNNNNNNNNNNNNNNNNNNNNNNNNNNNNNNNNNNNNNNNNNNNCGAUGUUAUAUCUACUUCCACUGCCCAUGUCAAACAAGUCUUUAGGGAUGUUACGGAGUACAACGUACCAACCUUCAUCAGUUGGAUCUUUUGAGUAAAAAACUUGUUUGACUUGAGAUGAGAAUACAUACGGCUCAUCUAUCAGUUGUUGUCCUGUGUGAAUCAAUCGGUCAAAAUUCACCAUUGUAAAACCAAAUUGAUCUUACUUAAUUCCACGAGCUGUAUUAACAUCGGCCCAAUCACCUCGAAAUAAGACAACUUUCCAUUUGCCGUAGUAAUCCAACUCAAUUAUGUCAGUAAGAUGUCCGAAAUAUUCUACAUUUCCCUCGACAAGAUUAUUGUCCCUAGCACUAGCAUAACUUGUGAUUGCAGAAUUGACAACUAUUCCACAAUUUUGCGUUCUCCUCAACCUCUCGCGAUAUUUUGUAUGAAAUCUGAAUCCGUUGAUGAGGAACGCACUAUAUCUUUUAACCACUCGAUUUGGACUUUGGGAGAGCCAUUUAACUGCAUACCGUUUGGCUUAACCAUUCAUAAAAAGAUUCUGUAAACAUCUUAUUGAUAUCUCGAUGUUGUGUUCUUCGGGAGCGCGAACGAGAUCUCAAUUUUUGUUUGUACUCACUAUGUUAAAAAAAUGUUCACCUUGUUAGAAGAUAAAUAGUUAUUAGUUUGAUAAAUAUUUAUCAAAUUUGUAUAACUUACUUCCGUAAAGGUUCCAAUGAUUCGUGGUGAAACAGAACAUAUCGAUGUGCUUGUACUAGAGGUGCUCAUGGGUCGGGCCGGGCCCAUAAAAAAAUUUCGGCCUGGGUCCUAGGCCCGGCCCGAAAUAUGGGCCUAAGAUUUUGCCCAGGCCCGGCCCGGGAAAAAAAUCAUAAGUCCGGGCCCGGCCCGGCCUAUUUUUAUUUUAAAAAUUUUAAAAAAUUAAAAAAAGUAUUUUAAAAAUAUUUUUAAAAUAUUUUAAAAUUAAAAAAAGUAUUUUAAAAAUAUUUUAAAAUUAAAAAAAAUUAAAAAAAGUAUUUUAAAAAUAAUUUAAAAUUUAAAAAAUUAAAAAAGUAUGUAAAAAAUAUUUUAAAAUUAAAAAAAUAAAUAUAUUUAUUAAAUCGGGCCGGGCCCAGGCCAAAAAAGUGGUGCCCGAGGCCCAGCCCGUUUUCUAAACAGGCCUCGUUUUUUGCCCAAGCCCAUAUUUCGGGCCUAUAUUUUUACUCAAACCCUCCCAUAUUUCGAGCGGGCCGUCGGGCCGGGCCGGGCCGCCAGGCCCAUGAGCACCUCUAGCUUGUACCCACGAUAAAUGAUCUAAUUCUGCAAUUUCAACUUUGCCGAUUGGUUCUCAAAAACUUUGGAACAAAUAAGUAUCGGCUAAGUUAUGGUCCGUGAGUCCAGCAUUCCUAUUUGGUCUGUUUAACCUUGUUUCAACAUCUUCCAAAUAUCUUGAGCAGAAGGUCAUACAUUCCUCUGCCAAGUAGCCUUCAGCAAUCGAUCCUUCUGGAUAUCGCUUGUUGCGGCAGUAAGACUUUAAUUUGGAUAGGAACCUAAACACAAUAUACAACAUUUCUUAAUUAUUGAAACUAAAGGCAUAUAGGUGAAUGAAGGAAAAUUUUAAAAAUUUUAAUUAACACAUUUCUAUGGGAUACAUCCAUCGAUAGAAAACGGGUCCGCCAAGAAUUGCUUCGUGUGGGAGAUGGAUUACCAAGUGAACCAUAAUGGUGAAGAAGGAAGGUGGGAAGAUUUUCUCCAUGUUGCAUAAAGUGAAAGCGGCUCGAUCCUGUACCUUCUGAAGUUUUUGAACAUCCAAAACUUUGCCACAAAUGGCUUUCAUUAUGUUGGAUAGUUCAAUUGUACAAGACGUCACCUUCUUGGACAUACAACAUCGUAGAGCCACUGGCAGUAAAUCUUGCAUCAAGAUGUGAUAGUCAUGUGAUUUUAGCGAAUAUAAUCUUCGAUCUUUAACACUAACACAUCGAGAUAUAUUUGAUGCAUACGCAUCUGGAACCUUUAUAUCCUUCAACACCGUGCAGAACACUUCUUUUUCCGUCUUUGACAUUGAAAAAAUAGAAGGCGGCAACCGAUAUUUCCCAUAUUUCCCAUUCGGAAGUGGAUUGGGAUGAAGAUCAGGUCGGAUUCCCAUUUGGAGUAAAUCAAGUCGACUAUGAAGAUUGUCUUUUGAUUUUCCGUCGACAUUCAAAAUUGUACCCACAAUGUUCUCGCAGACAUUUUCUCAAUGUGCAUAACAUCAAGAUUGUGUCGUAAAAGGUGAUGCUCCCAAUAAGGCAACUCAAAAAAAAUACUUCUUUUUUUCCACAAGUCCGCCUCAUUAGGAUCGUCCUCUUCAUCAGAGUCAUCAUUAGCUUCAUUAUUUGAUCUUCUAUUUCUUUGCAUGUUUUGCGGUUGGUUCAUCUUCCCAUAAAUGAAAUUCAAAUCUUCCAACAUAAACAAGAUUUCAGAGCCACUGGUCUGCGAAGGAGCUUCUCUAAACUCUUCAGUACCAUCAAAUACAGAACUCUGAAAUCUAAAUCUAUGAUUUUCUGGUAACCACCGACGAUGCCCCAUGUAAGAGAACUUCUUCCCAUUGUACAACCAUUGCGAACAUGUUUGUGCAGCACAACAAGGACACGCAUAACGACCCUUGGUACUCCAACCAGAUAAAUUGGCAUAAGCGGGAAAGUCAUUAACGGUCCACAUCAAAGUUGCACGUAAAUUAAAGUUCUCCUUUCUCAGCACAUCGUAUGUCUCGACACCAGCCCACAAUUGUUUUAACUCUUCAAUAAGUGGCUGUAAAUAAAUGUCGAUAUCAUUCCCGAGCCCUUUCUCUCCAGGGAUAAUCAUAGAUAAGACAAGGGAAGAUUGCUUCAUGCAAAUCCACGGAGGCAGAUUGUAAGGAACAAGCACUACUGGCCAAGUACUGUACGCAGUGCUCAUGAUCUUGAAAGGAUUAAAUCCGUCAGAUGCUAGCCCAAGCCUCACACUCCUAGGAUCGCUUGCAAAGCUUGGAAAUUUAUUGUCAAAUGAUUUCCAAGCUAAAGAAUCUGUCGGAUGCCUUAAUAAUCCAUCAUCGGUUCGUCCAUCAUGGUGCCACGUCAUAGACUCCGCAGUCUUCGAGGACAUGAAAAGCCUUUGAAGCCUCGGUAUCAGCAGAAAAUACCGUAAAAUCUUAACUGGCUUCUUUCUUGAUUGUGCAUCAUUUUCAUCGUCGUUCCCACCUUCUGUGUUUUUACUUAUCCAACGGGAGUGGCCGCAUACAUGACAGCACUAUUGAUUUCUCCGAUCGCCCCAAUACAACAUGCAGUCAUUUGGGCAACUAUGGAUUUUGUUGUACCCAAUGCCUAAAUCUUUUAUCAAUUUCUUCAUAUAUUUGCAUGUCUGAGGGAUUUUUGCAAAAGGAAACAUUUCUCGAAGAACUCUAACAGCAUUGUCAAAGAGUUUCCGGUCCACCCUCCCAAACAUUUUAAUUGAAAAAGACGAACACAGAAAGACAUUUUUGAAAAUUUUGAUCCCUCAUACAGUUCGUCGUUCAUGUCAUUAAGUAGCGCGUAGAACUUCGCCGCUUCGUCGUUCGGCUCUUCAUGACGUACACUACUUCCCGGUUCGGUAAAAGCACUUCUCCCAAUAUUACAAUCAUCAGAAGCCACAAAGUCCGCUGGGAACGACUGGACACCAUGAUUGUGCAUAUUAAAUGCAUCCCGCAACAUACCUUCCAUGUCAUCCCCUCUAUUAGACUGGUGGUAAGUAGUAUUGUCAUAAGAUACAUCCAUCCUUGAAGAGGAAGUACUAGGCGGACAUUCUCCAUGAAAAAACCAUUGUUUAUAACCCCGAACAAACCCAUCAACAAUUAGAUGCUCGUAUUCAACUUCACGAUAAUGCCAGUUUAUGUUGACACACUUCUUACACGGGCAAAGAAUCAUGUUCUCCUGGCUUGCAUAUUGAAAUGCAAAAUUUAGAAAAGUCUGUACUCCAUUUCGAUAACCGUCGCUUACCCUUGACAAAUUCAUCCAAGACCGGUCCAUUUCUUAUUUCUUGAUGUCUGAUUUUCACCAGAAAUUACAAGGGUAAGUUGUUCAGUGGUAACUACAAAUGAGUUUUUUGAAAUAUAUAUCAUAUGAUAUAUAUUUAUGUAUUAAGUCAAUUAUGUAAGUUAUGUACGUGUAUAAGUUAUGUAAGUUAUGUAUUAAGUAAGCUAUUUAAGUUGUGUAUUAUGUAAGUUAUGUAAGUUAUCAAAGUAAUGUAUGUUAUGUAAGUUGUAAGUUAUUAUGUAUUAUGUAGGUGAUGUAGGUUAUGUAAGUUUUGUAUUAUUUAAGUUGUGUAAGUUAUGUAUGCUAUGUAAGUAAUGUGUAUUAUGUAAGUUUAUAUAAGUUAUUAUGUAACUAAUGUAUUAUGUAAGUUUGUUUGAGAAUUUUAUAUAAGUCAUGUAUUAUGUAAGUUAUGUAUUAUGUAAGUUUAAUAAGUGUAUGUGUGAUAGUUAUAUAAGUUUAUUGAAUAUUAAUAAGUUAUGUAAGUUCUUGUAAAUACAAAAUUUGAUUAUGUAAGUAAAUAUUAAUAGUUAGUCACUUUUAUGUAUCUUAUUUAUAAUAAAUAUUGAAAUUAAAAUAUAUUUUAACAAGUUAUGUAAGUAAUGUAAUAUAUACUUAAAUUUUAGUAAGUAAUAUAUAUUUUAGUAAUGUAUUUAAAAUUUAAACAAAUUUUAGUAAGUAAUGUAUUUAAGUAAUAUAUUCAAGUAAAUUUUAGUAAAAAAUAUGUUUUAGUAAGUAAUGUAAGUCAUGUAAAAUAUACUUAAAAAUAUAUAUUUAAGUAAUGUAAGAUAUAAAUUUUAAAAAAUUAUUACUUAAGAAUAUAUAUAUUAUUAAUAAGUUAAAUUAAAUUGUAAAAAUAUAUUUAAAAAUAUAAUAAAUAUUGAAAUUAUAUAUUAACUUUAAAAUAUAUAUAUUAAUAAGUUAUUUAUAUUAGACAUGCAAUCAAGUAAUAAUUUUUUGAGAAUCCCCUCUAUAAUGAAUUUAUUAAACAUUCAAUCAAUUAACNNNNNNNNNNNNNNNNNNNNNNNNNNNNNNNNNNNNNNNNNNNNNNNNNNNNNNNNNNNNNNNNNNNNNNNNNNNNNNNNNNNNNNNNNNNNNNNNNNNNACAUUCAAUCAAUUAAUCGAUCAAUUUAUUGAAUCAUCAUAGAUUAUUAAGCAUUUAUUAAUUGAAAUAAAAUUGUAAAUCGAUAAAAUUGCAAAUCGAUAAUUAUAAAUACAGUAUAAUUAUGAAUAUAUAUUCGAAUAAUUAUAAAAUUAAAUAAAAUUAUUUAAAAUUUACCCAUAAUAACUAACAACUAUACAUGAGAAAAAUCAAGGCUAUAUUAACAUCAGAAAACAAAUUUUGCAUCCUUAUCAACAAUGCCAUUUGCAGGAUAGCUGAACAAUUUUUAAUUCAUGCCUACUGCUGAAAUGAUUUAUGGGAAUGGCAUGAAAGAAAUAUGAAAGUAAAUAUUGACUUCGAUAUCAAACAUAUAACCACUUNNNNNNNNNNNNNNNNNNNNNNNNNNNNNNNNNNNNNNNNNNNNNNNNNNNNNNNNNNNNNNNNNNNNNNNNNNNNNNNNNNNNNNNNNNNNNNNNNNNNNNNNNNNNNNNNNNNNNNNNNNNNNNNNNNNNNNNNNNNNNNNNNNNNNNNNNNNNNNNNNNNNNNNNNNNNNNNNNNNNNNNNNNNNNNNNNNNNNNNNNNNNNNNNNNNNNNNNNNNNNNNNNNNNNNNNNNNNNNNNNNNNNNNNNNNNNNNNNNNNNNNNNNNNNNNNNNNNNNNNNNNNNNNNNNNNNNNNNNNNNNNNNNNNNNNNNNNNNNNNNNNNNNNNNNNNNNNNNNNNNNNNNNNNNNNNNNNNNNNNNNNNNNNNNNNNNNNNNNNNNNNNNNNNNNNNNNNNNNNNNNNNNNNNNNNNNNNNNNNNNNNNNNNNNNNNNNNNNNNNNNNNNNNNNNNNNNNNNNNNNNNNNNNNNNNNNNNNNNNNNNNNNNNNNNNNNNNNNNNNNNNNNNNNNNNNNNNNNNNNNNNNNNNNNNNNNNNNNNNNNNNNNNNNNNNNNNNNNNNNNNNNNNNNNNNNNNNNNNNNNNNNNNNNNNNNNNNNNNNNNNNNNNNNNNNNNNNNNNNNNNNNNNNNNNNNNNNNNNNNNNNNNNNNNNNNNNNNNNNNNNNNNNNNNNNNNNNNNNNNNNNNNNNNNNNNNNNNNNNNNNNNNNNNNNNNNNNNNNNNNNNNNNNNNNNNNNNNNNNNNNNNNNNNNNNNNNNNNNNNNNNNNNNNNNNNNNNNNNNNNNNNNNNNNNNNNNNNNNNNNNNNNNNNNNNNNNNNNNNNNNNNNNNNNNNNNNNNNNNNNNNNNNNNNNNNNNNNNNNNNNNNNNNNNNNNNNNNNNNNNNNNNNNNNNNNNNNNNNNNNNNNNNNNNNNNNNNNNNNNNNNNNNNNNNNNNNNNNNNNNNNNNNNNNNNNNNNNNNNNNNNNNNNNNNNNNNNNNNNNNNNNNNNNNNNNNNNNNNNNNNNNNNNNNNNNNNNNNNNNNNNNNNNNNNNNNNNNNNNNNNNNNNNNNNNNNNNNNNNNNNNNNNNNNNNNNNNNNNNNNNNNNNNNNNNNNNNNNNNNNNNNNNNNNNNNNNNNNNNNNNNNNNNNNNNNNNNNNNNNNNNNNNNNNNNNNNNNNNNNNNNNNNNNNNNNNNNNNNNNNNNNNNNNNNNNNNNNNNNNNNNNNNNNNNNNNNNNNNNNNNNNNNNNNNNNNNNNNNNNNNNNNNNNNNNNNNNNNNNNNNNNNNNNNNNNNNNNNNNNNNNNNNNNNNNNNNNNNNNNNNNNNNNNNNNNNNNNNNNNNNNNNNNNNNNNNNNNNNNNNNNNNNNNNNNNNNNNNNNNNNNNNNNNNNNNNNNNNNNNNNNNNNNNNNNNNNNNNNNNNNNNNNNNNNNNNNNNNNNNNNNNNNNNNNNNNNNNNNNNNNNNNNNNNNNNNNNNNNNNNNNNNNNNNNNNNNNNNNNNNNNNNNNNNNNNNNNNNNNNNNNNNNNNNNNNNNNNNNNNNNNNNNNNNNNNNNNNNNNNNNNNNNNNNNNNNNNNNNNNNNNNNNNNNNNNNNNNNNNNNNNNNNNNNNNNNNNNNNNNNNNNNNNNNNNNNNNNNNNNNNNNNNNNNNNNNNNNNNNNNNNNNNNNNNNNNNNNNNNNNNNNNNNNNNNNNNNNNNNNNNNNNNNNNNNNNNNNNNNNNNNNNNNNNNNNNNNNNNNNNNNNNNNNNNNNNNNNNNNNNNNNNNNNNNNNNNNNNNNNNNNNNNNNNNNNNNNNNNNNNNNNNNNNNNNNNNNNNNNNNNNNNNNNNNNNNNNNNNNNNNNNNNNNNNNNNNNNNNNNNNNNNNNNNNNNNNNNNNNNNNNNNNNNNNNNNNNNNNNNNNNNNNNNNNNNNNNNNNNNNNNNNNNNNNNNNNNNAAGACCAGCACGCUGCGUUUUGAUUAAGAUGUCUUGCGGCGUUUAAGGCUCUGCGCCGCUAAUACUAUACAUUAGCGGCGUUUUCUUUAUAAGCGCCACUAAUUGAAAUAUACAUCAAGACCAAGCUCUGCGUUUUAGUUAACAUCUUUUGCGGCGCUUCCACUAAGCGCCGCUAAUACUAUACAUUACCGGCGUUUGUUCGUAAGCGCCACUAAUGCCAAUAUACAUCAGCACCAGAACGCUGCGUGUUGGUCUUGAGAUUUUGCGGCGCUGUGUGGUAAACGCUGCGAAUGAUGUUCUUUAGCGGCGUUUUAUAAGAAUCGCCGCUAAUGCUAGAUCUUUAGUGGCGUUUUAUUCUUUGCGCCGCUAAUGCUCGAUUUUUAGCGGUGUUUUUUUAUCAAAACGCCACAAAAUAUGCCGCUAAAAGUCUGUUCUGGUGUAGUGAAAAUUUAAGAUUAUGACUAUGGGCCGUAAUGGGAUUACACCCUGUACUUACAAAAUGACUGUAAUGUAAGAUUACAUGAUGAUCGAUAUGUUAAAAUCUAAAAACCGUAAUCUCAUUCCGAAAUUUAAUAUUAUAAACCAUUAUGUUAUAUUUGACAAAUCAAACGCGUCCUCGGAGUAGUAUUAAACAUUUUAAAAUUUUAAUUCGAUGGAUUCGUUAUUAUCAACCCCAAUCAUUUGACUAAUUUAACGCAAGCAAAAUUCUAUGCUCCAUGUCAUACGUACAAAUUUAUUUGAAAAAUAAUGUUAAGAUAAGUCAUAUAUAUUUCUUAUCAUUUUUAAAUUUAAUCAUAUAUUACAAACAUUAAAGAAACAAAUAAAAUAUUAUUUAAAAUGAAAUCAAAAUAUUUUUGUUACAAUGGUUUGUAAUGACGAUUCACAUCAUAAGGGGUGUACACCGUAGAGAGUUAUUAGGAUAACGGCGGUUCACACCGUAAUAGUCGUAAAGAAUCACUCCAAAAUUUAAUGAUAUGGCACUUUAAGAUUGUGUCGUCUCAUUAGCUGAAAUUUUUAAUAUAUAUCUUUUUUAAUUUUUAAGUGAUGAUGUGGCGCAAGAUGAUAACGUUACAUUGUCAAACUUUUACAUUUUUCUAAGUUCAAGAUCAAAAUGGACCUAUUUGUUAAGUUAAAGUACUAAAGUGAACAAAAAAUAUAAAUACCAAAAUGGAUCUAAUUUUCAAGUUCAUGUGCAAAAACUUAGGCUGUGUUUUUUCAUCGAAAAUAACUUCCAAAAUUGAUUUUUGAAAAAUAAAUUGAUUUUCUAGAGAAAUUGACAUUUCUGGUGAUUGAACGAUUCUAUGUAAAAUAUUUUCCGUUGUUUGACAAACUUUCUUGAAAUCAUUAUUUGAAACUUGUUUUCGAUGCAACAAACACAACAUAAAUUAUGUUUGUUACAAAAUAUUUUCUUUGGCGAAAUUUUAUACCCAUAUUUCAAGCUAGAUUAGACUUGGGCAAAUAUAAAAUGUACCUAAACUUGAUCCAAUCGAUGAACACCUCUAAUAAUAUAAACUUGGUAAUGACCAAUAUCUAAUUAAAAUUCAAUAGUGUUACAUAUAUUAUAUAUGAGUUAGUAUUUAGUAAACUAGCAUUGUACUUUUUUGGGUAAACUACACCAAUUGUCCCUAAACUUUGUUUAAAAUUACAUUUUGAUCACCCAACUUUCAAAAGUUAUGUAAUAGUCACUAAUGUUAUUAAAUUGUUACAUUUUUGUCACUCGACUGUUAACUUCCAUUAAAAAAGUAACUUUGCACCUUAAUUCAAAGGGUUAAUAGCUAAUUUAGUUCCUAAGUUAUAAUUAAAAAAUUAUUUUGAUAUUUUUAAAUUUUUCAUAACAAUAAUUGUAAAAAAAAAUUAAAAUCCUAGACUAAAAAUUAUUUUAAAAAUCUAUAAAAAAUAAUUGAAAACCAUAUUUUUUAAAUAUAUAUAUAGUAUUUGAAUAUGUAUAAAUCUAAAAAAUUCUUAAAAGUAAAACUAAAAAAGUUUUAAAACUAAUGCAAAUUUUUAUUAUAUAAAAGAAUCUUAAAAAUUUUAAACUAAAUUCUAUUUAUUUUGCACCGUUGAUGAACACUUUCAAUUACAUUAAUAACUACAUGUUGUUUUACCUAGAAAUUACUUUGAAUAUUUUAUUUUAUUUUAUUUUAUUUUCAAAGUUCUAAAAGCCCUAGUAAGAUACAUCUCAAUGCAAGAUUCAGAUUUCACUAUUAGAUCGAUUGUUACUGCUCGAGUUUUCAAGAAACAAAAUCUAGGCUUACAAGCUUUCAUUCUUAAGAAUCGUAAAAACUCCUACUAUCAACGGCUUGUCUGCAUGAUUUUCCUGAUAAUUAUGAAAAGAAAAGAAAGGAGAAAAAAUUAAAAAAGAAGAUGGCAAGAGAGAAAAGCAAAAUGUUAUAUCCGAUUGUUUGGGUUCUUUGGUAAGUUUCAAUUUUUUAAAAUUUGAGAAUUUUUAUUUUUUCUUUUAAUUUAUAACACAAAGUACCCUAUUUCUUUUCUGUAACUUCAAUUAUUAGAUUAGUUGUAGUUUUUUUCAGUUUUGAAAUUUUAGAUUUUUCAAAUUUAUAAUAUAAAGUGCUCUUUUUCUUCUCCAAAUCAACCAUUUCUGCUCUCAAAUUUUAAGUCAAGAUUUUACUUUUAGCUGUAAAUAAAACAUAUAUAAUAUUAUUAAUGAUUUAAGAAGAGUGGAGCCGAUGCCAAUUUACAUGAAAAAAGAGGGGGGAAGGCAAAGAAAGAUGAAAAUGAAGGGAGCAUAAAACAACAGAACAAAUGAAAAACGAGUAAGAUAAAAGUGAAUGGAUUUUUUUUUUUUGUGAAAGUUAAAAGACUGAUUUUUGAUGAGAUUGAAUGUGAAAAUUUUAGCCGCAAAAUUCUUGAUUUUUUUAGAUGCAAAUGAUUUUUUAUAUGAAUUUUUUUAUUUAGUUUUAAAUUUUUUUAAAAAUUUUUGCAAUUAUUUUUUAUUUUAUAAUCAUAGUUAGCUUUUUACCCUUAUAUUAACCCAUAAUAAUUGGAGUUAGGAAGAAAGCAUUACUUUUUACCCUUCUUUUGUCAUGUUUAAGAGCUAAUUUUGUAAGUAUUUAUCAUCAAUAAGUUCAUAAUUAUGUCAAAAAAUUAGACUGCAACAAUAAAGGAGUCAACUUCAACUGACGACUUUUUCAUUGCAUUUUAUCCCAAUCUUCCAAAAUCCCAAUUUAUAUAAAUACCCAUCUUCAUCAUCUUCUUCACCAAACAAUUUCAAUUUCCAGACAAUGAGGGGCAAAGCAGAGUUGGAAAGCAAGUUCAAGAAAUACAUGUCAAAGCCGAUGACCAAAGCAGAGUUACAGAGCAAGCUGAGGCACUACAUGUCCAAACCUAAGAGAGCUUUACACAAGGCAAGGGACAUUUACGUCAAAAGUUUGGAAGGUUGCGCUAGCAAGGUCGGCCACGGCGGAGUUCUCGGAUGCCCCGCCGCCGCACCCCAAGUUUCACGGUUGCCCAAGAGUUUCAACUUCAACUAUUCGAAGCCCAACAACGAAGAGAAGUUCUUGAAUUUCUUGGAAACCAUGUCGAAGAAAAGAUCAAUGGAGUCGAAUUUGCAGGAACAAGAAGAAGCGCAAAGGCAAAUGAAAGAUCAGCACGGUGGGUUCAACAGAAGUUAUAGUAUAAACGUUGGCCUAGCCAGGAUUGACGAGGAUCAACCCUGUUACUUCGAUGAAGAAGAAGAUGAUGCUGUGUUUGCUAGAAGCAGAAGCUGUACUUACAAGAGAUACCAUUAUUAGUGAAGAUUGAAGCUUUUUUUUUGUUUUUUUGGUUCGAAGAAGAUUGAAGCAUUGGAAAUGUAAAAUUUGGAUCCGAUAUUAUUUAUGGAUUAUUUAAUUGUCAUUGUAAAAAAAUUUAAUGGUUAAAUACCAAAUUAUUAGUAAGUUUAUGUUUUUUGUCACCCAAUUUUAAAAAAGUUAUAAAAUGAUCACUGAACUAUUCGAAUUACUAGGUUGUUAAGUUUUUUUUUUAGAUUCGGCUAGCGAACUCUAAGCGACAAUUCAACGAUCAGUAUGGUGGAUUAGUACCCAUUGACGAGUAGAAUAACAUACUUUAGGUCUAAGUUGAUCUAACGAUUAGUGUCGAAAACUGGAGAAGAAAGUUGUUUGGAUUUAUAAAAAAACUAAACUGUAGAAGAGAAUAGGAACGAGAGCUUUUGAUUAGUGUAGGCGAUGCGAACUGAGAAGGCCCUACAAUAACAAUUUUAACAACCUAGUGACUAAAAUAAAAAAACUUUUGAAUCGUUCAGUGAUCAUUUUAUAAUUUUUUGAAGUAACCAAAAUAUAAACUUACUAAUAAUUCAACCACUUUGGGUGAUUACAUCGUUGUUAUAUGUUUGAAUUUAGUUAUUAUGGAAGACAAAAAUUUUGAAACAGCACAAAGGUUGCAUUCACCAUACUUUCUUAAUAGAAUGCUUUUUUUUUUUUUAUGGUUAGGGAGGGAAGGGAUGUAGGGUUUAAGUCGUGUCAUUUAAAUGCUGGAUAAGAUUUUUAAUUUUUUAAAAUGUUUAAUUUGGAUCUAAUAUGGAGCAUAUUUAAAAUUUAUAAAUUGUUCGAUUUUACAUGAUAAAAAAAUAAAUAGUCAUUAAAUUUAGAAAAGUUAUUUCCCUUUUAACACGUCAUAUUUAAGUUAUUUAUGUGAUAGAUAUUUACAAUUUAAUUUGUAUGUUUAAAAUAUACUCUAAAUCUAAUUUGAGCCCGCAUUUAGCAUUUAAGCUAAUAAUUAGGUUAACGGAAGAACCUUUUAAUUACUCAAUUAUAAUAUUUUUUGAAGUUUAGAGACAAAUUAAAAAUUUAAACUAUAAUGUAAGGAUGUCUGAUGCAAUUAACCCAUGUAAAAUAUAAUAUAACAUUUGGUUGAUUUGGUUUUAGCUUUGCUUCCUCUUUUUCUUCUUUGUUUUUUUAGUUUCAAAGCAGAUAAAAGUUAGAAGCACAAAUCGGUUUUGUGAAACAAAUUUAAAUACGAUGGGGGACAUAUUUUUUUUUGGGCCAGUUAGAUCAGAAGGCAGUAUCUUCAGGGACUAAAAAGAAAAGGUUCAUUGAAAGACAGCAUAUGAAAAAUAUCCCAACAUUAGCUUUUGUCAUUUGACCCCUCCCCCCAUCCAUGAAACUCUGAUAUGAGCAAUGCCCGUUACACAUCACAUGCAUCAUGUCUCAAUUCUCAUCUACAUAUAUUUAGGCCUAAAUUUCUAAUUGUGUUAAGAAAUGGGGUCUUGAUUUUUAGGGUAAACUAUAUUGGUAGUCACUUAAUUAUUAGUAUUUUUUUUUUGGUUACCCACUUAUGAAAAGUUUUAAAAUGAUCACCUAAUUAUUCAACUUUUUUCUUAGUCACAUGCCCUUAAAUUACUAACAGAAAGAUAACUUGGCAAUUUUUAAAAUUAGUAUAAUAACAACUUUAACCCUCAAUAUUUAUAUAUUGUGUCAAUUUAGUCUUAAUUCUAAAAAAAAUUAACCCUUAAUGUUUAUACAUUGUGUAAUUUGAUUUUUUUUUGUAGUUUUGUUUAUUUUAAAAGAAUGAGAAAAAAUAAAAUUAUUAUCUUGAAUUUUUGGGGUUUCCGUUUUGGUAUAUAUAUAUUUUUUAUCAAAUUUAGCUAAUAAAUUUGUCUUUUUAGCUUUUCAAAUGAAAAAGUCAUAAAAAAUUACAAAAAAAAAUCGAAUUACACAAUGGGUAAAUGUUAAGAAUUAUUUUUUUAGAAUCAAGACUGUGUAUAAAUAUUAAGGAUUAAAGUUAUUAUUAUGUCAAAUUUAAAAGAUAUCACGUCAUCUUUCCGUUAUUUAAAAAAUUGAUAACAAAAUUAAAUAAUUGAAUAACUACUUUAUAACUAAUAAAAAAUUAUAUAGAAUACUCUUUAUUUAUAUGCGGGAAGCAUUAUUUUUUUCCUGUUCCCAGUUUCUGGUUAAAAUUAUCUUUGCAUUGCUGCAACUGCCGACAAUGAUUUACUUUCCUGCUCUCUUUAUCCUUUAUGGCCUGAAAUUUUGGAUAGCAAUUGUAGUUUUCAAAUGUUCUAAAAAGAUCAGCUGGAGCCCUUUUUUACCAGGUUAGAUUCAGUUAUUAGUCCCUAUACUUUAUUAAAAUUAUAAAUUUAGUCUCUAUACAUUUAUUUAGUCAUUUUUAGCUUACGUAUUUUUAGAAUUUUAAAGUUCUCACCAAAUAAUUAUUGUUAAAUUUAUUAAGUUAAGUUUUGAUAUUCUUAAAAUCUGAUGCAAUAAACAUGUUAUUAUAUGUGUAAUACCACAUCAGCUUGUUUUUUUCAUAUAUUACACAUUAAAAAUCCAGUUAAUGGAUUAACGACUGUGAUUUACGUUAACAUUGAAAUUUCAAAUUUUGAAUAGUAUAUGAACUUAGAAUGAUCCAAAUGAAGAAAAUGGACUAAAUCUACAACUUCGCAUAUAAUACAAGACUAAUACUUGAAUUGAACCAAAUGAAUUUACAAUUGUUUGUGUCGGGACUAAAACUUCAAAAUUCGAAAAAUACAACUAAAACUGAUCAAAUUAAAAUACAGAGACUAAAUCAACAACUUUCAUAAAGUACAUGUACUAAUAGCAGAAUUUAACUUUUUUAUUACACGGAAACAAAACUUGAGGCUUAACCCACAAUGAUUAGGACAAGAUGAGUAAAAAAAACACACAGAAGAAAUUUAUUUUCCAAAUGUUGCUCUAAGGUUGGUUUUUUCAUUGCAAUGGCUGAUACAAAGGCAAAUCCAAAUAAAAAUGAAGAAUAAAAGGAACAACAUCUCCCUUGAGAUCUGACAUUUGAUAUAAAGAGCUCAACUCCAUUGAUCAUUUCCUUAAAACCAUCUGUCAAUUAUGAAACUUCCAUUAAUUAGGUGAUUAUAUAUAUAUAAAGCUUAAAGAUUGUAAAGCUACUUAACUGGUUAGUUUGUAGCUGGUUUCCAUAUGGAGAGUACUGAUAAAAACCACAGUGGUCACGGAAUGCAGGCCCUCCCUGCAAUAAUUCAAUGUUAUAUAUAUGGAAAACCUGGAACUGGAAAUCAAAUUCAGGGAAUUCAAUUACCAUAAAGUGUGUUGCAGAGAAUCCCUGUAGGGGAUAAUCAAAUACACUCUCCAUUGAAACUUCAUCAUAGGUCUGAACAAAAUCAGUGUAACCCAUAGUUAUGAAUGACUGAAAGAACAUAUAUAUACAAGUGAAGUGGAGUUAAUUAAUUUACCUUGGAGAAAUUUAUAAGAGGAGAGCUGGUGGCAGUAUCAUCAAGACAAGAAGGCGGUACUUGUUGUUUAGCACCAUUUUUAUCCAAUGCAGCAACUUGGGGUAAGGGAUAAUGAUACUGGUCAUCAUCAUGACCAUCAUCACCAUUGAAGCAGCCAUUAAUUUCAUAGAAGAAAUGUGGUGGAGGUCCAGAAGAUGCAUCAGAAAUCAUGGAAAGGUCUUCUUCUUCUUCUUCAACAACCUCUUCUUUAUUACCUCUAUCAUUGCUAUCUUUGAAAUCAUUGCUUGAAGGAUUUGCAGACAGGAAAGAGUGGUCUAAGUAAUUAGUCCAACCAGAUUCAUAACCACUAUUACAUUCUGUGGCAAACAAACCAUAGUCAUCCAUAUGAUUUUUUUUUUCCUUACAAGAAAACCCUCCUACAACUCAAUGUGUUUUUCCCUCUUGUGCAUGGCAAUUGGGUCCUUUUUAUCAACAAGACAAAGUGUGAUGGUAACUCAGUUGAGAGUGACAGGGUGAGGUUAUAAGUGUGUAUGUGCCCCAUAUUAGGGAUAGAAAGUAAGGGAUUGACAAUGACCAUAGAUAAAAAUAUCAAGACUCCAAAUCAUACACUAGUUUUGCGCCCCCAUACUCUCACCAUUUUGGUAUUGUUUUCGAUCUGGAUUGUCUUUUGACUCUACUCUAAAACCUUAAUGAAUUCGCAUAGUGAAGAUACCUCGAACCGUCAAUUUUUGAGAUAAUCUCAUUCUAUGAACUACCAAAUUUUUUUUGUAAAAUCAGAGUGCUACUUGGUGGGUUCCUCUACCAUUCAAGGAGGUACAUGUAAUGUGAAAAUAAGAAAGAAAGAGAGAGAGACACAAGGGAAAGUCACUAAAACCCUCCACAUGCUAGACAGCGAGGCAAUGUGUACCCUCUUUGCAGAUCCGGAAACACCUCCAUUUUCCUUUCCUCACCAUUUAUGGACACCUACUCUUUCCAUAGUAGAGGUGUUCAAAUCGAACUUAAAAUUUAUAUAUUCAAAUUUCGUCGAUUAAACUUAGGAGAGAGCCGAUUAAGCUGAACAGCUAACUCUAGAGAAUAUGGUCCUCACAAGGCAUCUACUAUCAUGUACAUAGGUACUUUGUGCAGUAGAUUUUUUAGGUCUGGGUGCACAGUUUUUUUUUUCCUUCUUGAAGAUAUAUAUAUAUAUUAUGCGACUUACGAGACAACAAGUACUAACUGUAUAUCAGUCAUUUUCUUUCAUUUUCAAGCUUUUAAUUCUCCCCAUAUGUAAUGUCUAGUCACUUUUAGUUAGGCAAAAAAAAACCAUAACCCAUAAAUAUUAAAAAAAUAGAAAAAAAGUCAUCUUAUAAUCAAUGUAUUUAGUCUAUAACCCUAAACCGAAUUAGUAUAAGCACAUAUUUAUGGAACAAAGGCUAAACACAACAUGCACCACAUAAAUGAUAAUACAAAAGCAUGACGAAUGAAAAAAAUCUUUCUUUUCUGUUUUUAGGACAAAGGGUGUUUUUUUUCUCCUUUUCCUUUUUUGAUUAUAUUUUUUCCAACUAUAUACAUAUAUAUAAGCUAGCAGAAAGACCACAGCCUAAGCCUAUGCUGACAAGACUUUGUGUGCAAGGAUGAAAGAGGCCCUCAAAACCCUAGCUAAUAAGGUUUGGGAUUGGGAGACGCCCUAAAUAUCUCUACUUCAUGGCCAGAGACCACUCACCAAAUUGUGAGCUGCUUCAUCAUUAUUUUUUUAGAUUUCCCAUCUUAGUGAUCUUUGCUAUCAAGUAAACACAUGAUAAUCUAAUCAAAUUCAGAAUCGAGCAAAAUUCAACCCUUAAACGGGGUAAAGCUCUUUCUAACUUUAUUUUCUCGGCUCCUAAACUUUACUUAGAGAUAUCACCACUUGACUGAAAAGGGUAAACUAUAUUGGUAGUCACCUAAUUAUUAAUUUUUUUUUGUCAAUCAAUUAUGAAAAGUUACAAAAUAUUUACUCAAUUAUUAAAAAAGUAAAAUUGAAAAACAAUACCAAAUUACACAAUAUGUAAAAACUAAGGGUUAAUUUUUUUAGUAUCAAAACUAAAUUGACACAAUGUAUAAAUGUUGAGGGUUAAAGUUGCUAUUAUGCCAAUUUUAAAUGUUGUCACAUCAUCUUCCCUCAGUCAUUUAACGGUUGGUUACCAAAAAAUUUUGAAUAGCUGGAUGACUAUUUUGUAAUUUGUGAUAGUUGGGUAUAGAGUUGUCUAUGGGUCGAGCCGAGGCCAGAUUCCAAAAAAGUUCAUGUCUUGGCCUAUUCUAGGGUCAGCCUGACCCGUCCAAAAAACUCAUUUCAUUGUUCAAAAAAUAAUAAAAUUUUAAAAAUAUAUUAUUUUUAUUAUUUAAAUUGAAUUCAAGCCGAUUAGUCUAGACCAAGAAAAAAAAUCAUUAUCCAAAUCCGGCUCAAAUAGAGAUACCUUAAACAAAUCUAGUUAAUAAUUAGAUGAGUACAAAUAUAAUUUACAUAUAAAUGUAACAAGCAUCCCAUUCAAAUAAAUAGAAUAUGAGUUAAUUGUGGUUUUCAACUCACCAUCUUUUUAAGCAGUGAUGAGGCAGAUUUGAGGGAUGAAAAUUUGCUUAGUCUUUCCACACAUACGCAUCCUCUCCCUCUAUCUCUCUAAAUAAUUGCUUGAUGGAUGCAAGAUUAGGUUGGAUAAUGUGGUAUCCUAUCCAGCUCAUAUGGGCCACAAUUUUAGAGAAUUUGGUCAUAUGGGUUUUCUAUGAGUUUUGGGUCCAUAAUUCUACUUUGACCCUCAUUUUCAUACCUUCCCAAAGUUAGUCAACCCACAGCAGAGGUUCAUACUACCCCUUAAAUGUGAAAACUAUUUCCUCUUGUAGGUGAAAACCUAAGUUAAGGGUUAAUAUUAACCUAAAUAUUACAACACCAUAUAUAACCAGUUAGUCACUCAAAAAUUAAGUCGUUUCUAUUUUGGUCACUUGAAAAGAAUUUUGUUAAUUUAGUUACCGUCGUUAAAGAAAUUGGCCAAAAUUAUCACUCUAUCGUUAAAUUUAAUGAAAUGCCUUUAUUUCUUUUUUUUUAUUAGAUGCCGUUUCCUUUAAAGAUUCAGUUGCUUCCUCCAUUGUACCACCGCCUUUGAGUGUUGUCUUAUCAUUUCUCCUUAUUUUCUCUAUUUUCCUUCUCAUUUCUUCUCUUUACCCACGACCAUCGCUUCUCACCAUCAUUGUUUGUGAUCUUCUAACGUCUUCUUUGAUAUUGAUAAGUGCUAAAAGUAACAUGUAUUAAUCUCAUUUUUAAUACGUUUUUUGGUGAUUAUUCUAUGUUAAUUGUGAAUUUUAUGCUCUUAAUCUUUUAAAUUCAUACUUUUAUUCCUAAUAGAGCAUUUGGGAGCAAAAGGAGUGAAAAACAAGCAAAAACCAGAAAAUCGAAGAAAGAUACAAGAGCCAAACAAGCUGACCCAUUCCACACGUCCUAUCCACACGGGUUACCACACGACCAUGUGGUUGGCCAUGUCGACUUUGCAGAUUUGCACCCUAAACUACGGAAAAUUGUGAUUUUUAGGUUUUUUGGGCUUUCUAAGGCGUAUAUAUGACAAAAAUAAGAAGAUAGGAGGGAAUCGCCAUAGAAUAUUCAAGAAAGCAACUCGAAAAACACCAUUGAAACUGAUUUUGAAGCAAAUUUCUGUCAAGAUUGAAGACUCCCAGUUGAUUUCUUAGGAGAUUAUCAUGAGUUUCUUUAUUUCUUUCAGUUAUACUAUAUCGUUGUUAUUUUUAUUUUCAAGCAUGAACUAUUUUCUAAAUGCCUAAGGAGAUGAACACCAUGAUGGAUUCUAUCAUUUGAUUUUUAUUUUACACAAUAAAUACUUAGUUUAUUGCUCUCAAUUAUGUGUGCUUAAUUUUUUGGUUUAAUAUUUCUAGACUAUUGAUCCAUGUUUGAUGUGUUUAAAUUAGAGGAGGAAUACACCCUGUUUAAGAGUAGAUCUUGCAUAAUUGAGUGGAGUUGCAUGCAAUCCCAGAAAUAGGAUGACAUAAAUCAACCGGAUUAGAGACAAAUCUAAUAGGGGAAUCCAUAAUACGAGUUAAUGCGAUAAUAGAGGUUUUAAUUAGAAAGAAAUUUCAAUUAAUCAACCUAGAGUCAGUUGCUCUUACUCUCGAAAGAGAUAUUAGCAUAAUUUAGGGAUUUCUACGGAUCAAGAUACUUAAGUAAAAAAAUUGUGUAAUUUAGAUUGAUAAUGACAGAUGAAGUCUAUGUGAAUUCUUUCCUGGGCACUGUUUUGCUUCUUGGUUAUUUGUCGGUUAUUUUUUUGUUUUGUUCUUUGUUGUGUCUAUUAGUUAAUUAAAUUAGUUAAUUUUAGUUUUAAUAAAUCACUCCAAUUAUUCGGUUAAAUUCUAGAAAGACAAUAAUUACUAGUACUUUUAGUCUUUGUGGGAACGAUAUUUGUGCUCAUCGUAGCUAUACUAUUAAUUGAUAGCUACGGUGAGCAUUGUCUUAAUCAAAUUUUUAGUUAGUUCAUAACGCAUCAGAUAUUAGACUGUCGAUCCAAAACCACCAAAGUGAAGCUUAAAUCCUUCUCUUUAGAUUUAUAGGAUUAGAUUUCUCAAAAAAAAAACCUUAAAAAAAAUGUGAGGUGACUCCCAAAGGUUUAGAAUUUUUGUGCUUCAAUCUUCUAAUCUCGUCGUCGAUAUGACCUUGUUUUGAGAUGUUUUUCUACUUUUGAGCUCACUAGCGGUCAUUUAAUAGAAACAUUGAUGACAUCUUUAGGGAGGUGAUGGUUUGGGUUUCUAAAUUAGAAGUGAGACGACAAAGAGAAGAAGAGGAGAUUGAAAAAUAUAAAGGAAUUUUGUUUUUAAAUAAUUUAAUGAUGAAAGAGAAAGAAAUAUGUUUGAUGGUUGAAUGACUAGUUUGAUCAAUUUCUUUAAUGGCAAUAACUAAACUAACAAAAAGAAUUGAAGUCAUCAAAAUAAUAAAAAACUAAAAAUGUCUUCUUACCUUUUUUUAAUUUAAAAAUCUCAAUUCAAUCGUAAACAUUAUUGGUAUUUUUGUCCAAAUUUGUCAACUUGACAUGUUGAUUAAACGCAUUGUAUAAUUAAAUUAAUUUGUUCAUGGACCAAAUUUGAGAAAAUCUUUUUCCUUAAUUUAGUUCCUAUGUUUAAACUCAUUAUUUAUUUAAUAUUUAAAAAUUAAUUAUAUUAACAUUUUUCAUUUUUAUAAUUAAGUCUACAUAAUUACUCAAUCAAUAUCAAUUCAAAAUUAUAUUUUGUUAAAUAAUUGAAUUUUAUAUGCUGCUCUUUUGUACCCAAACUUUUGAGCCCUCUAAUUAACAAUGCUGUGGAGGGUAACCUCAUUCACUUAAUUCUUAUAUAUUUGAAUUUUAUUCAAGUUUUGGGAUACAUGAUUUAAAAGAUAAUUAUUUGGUAUAUUGCCGAAGAAAAUUUAGCAUACAAUGAUUAAUUUAUCUAUUUAUUUUUUAUUUAAUGUACAAUAACUAAUUUAUCUAUUCUUUUAGUAAAAAAGAUAAAAUGCAAUUUUAUUUUUAGUACAGGACCUUCAUGAUAUUUUAUUGAAAAAAUUGGAUACACAUUUUAUACUAUUAUUUAGGUGUUUAGGGUUUAAUUGUUAAAUUACGAAAAUGUUCUUCCGUAAUUAAUAUUAAAAUAUGUAUAUGGUGAGAUUUAAACUCAAAUCAAUUACAUUAGUAAAACCUUUAAUUUACCACUCAACUAAAACUUUAUUUUAAUAUUUUUCUAUAUUUUAAUUUUAAUUAUACACACUUUAUUACUUCCAUAAAUUGUAUAUCUAUACUUACUAUUAUUUAAAUAUUUUAUUGAGUUGGUGUCAACCUCAACCGAGUCAUUUUCUUAAUUAAAAUAAGUUAUAUUAUUCGACAAUACUUUGUUUUUUAAUUUAAAAAACCAAUAAAAAUAUGCAUAUAUUGGAAUUUAAACUUAAACCGAUUGCAUUAAUAUAACUUUUAAUUUACCACUCAGCUAAAAUUUUAUUUUGAUAUUUUUUUAAUUUUAAUUAUGCAAACUUUAUUACUUAUGUUAUUUUUAAGCACACAUUUAUAUUCUAUAUUUGUGGUUUUCACACGUAUAGAAGCGUUAGGAUUUCUAAUAUCAAAUUAAGGAUUUAUCAAUUUUAGAAAAAAAAAAUUCAAAUUUUAAAUAAUCUCAUAACAUUCUACUACUAGGGUUUUUUUUUUACUUUUACAAUUUUAACCUCACAGUUAUUUAUCUCUGCAUAGUUGGUUUUUCCAUUACAAAUUGGGGUUGAUGAUAAGUAUCUAUCUCCUUAAUGAGCCUAUAGAAUGCGGAGGAUUAGUUACUGGGCUCGCACUAAUAGAUAGCUUAAGAAAUAAAAUAAAAAAAACCCAAAAAAUCCAUAUUCACAUAUAUAAAAUAUAUAUUAUCCAUGUAUGUAAUUUUCCUUGAUUUUAAUUUUUACUAACUUUUUUGCCGAUUGACUCCUAACUCGAUUGACAUGAAUAUUAUUACCAAUGUAGAAAGGCGUGGGUUCGAGUACGUUGAAACAUAUUAUCCUCCUAUUUAUGAAUCAAAGAGAGACUAUAAAUAAUUAUUCACAUUAUGUCGAGAAAAACAGAUAUACCCAUCAUCCAACUCUUUUUCUUUUUAUUUUUAUUUUAUGAAAAUAAUAAUCUGUUCACUAACCUGAUACCAAGUCUUAUGCUACAGUUUUGUGUUACAUCAAAACCUAAUUAUUAAUUAUAUGUCUUCUCCUUUUUCCAUCUUCUUUAUUUUUUUCUCUUUUCUUGUCCCAUAUAUAAAUAUAUAUCAUUUUAUUAAUUAAUACAUCAAAUCUAUUUUUGUUUUUUAAGAUUUCUGUUAGUUAUUGAUUCGUAAUUUCAUCGAUAUUAUUAUCAAUGUAAGAGGACGUGAGUUCGAGCGUGUUAAAAUAUAUUAAUUUUUCUAUUUAAAAGUUGAGGAGGAACUAUAAAUAGUUCUAGACACAUUUAAAUCAAAUAUAUAUAUCAUAUGAAAAUUAAAUUAACCAAAUCAAAUUAUUUUAACUCAACCAAACAUAAUUAUAAUACAUAUCCUUUAAAAAAAAUUGGUUAACCAACUUAAACAAUUAAUGUUAAGUCUGUUUAAUUAAGUUGAUUAUAACCAAUGUUUUUUUUUUUUGUAAUUGAAUUGAUGGUCAGACCGGUCAAAUCACUGAUUCUCAGUUCGACCUGUUAGUCUGAUUUGAUCAUAUAAAUUAUUUAAAAAAUCAUAAAAAUAAAAAUAGAUAAAAAAUUUUGUUCGACCUAUUUUUUAGCUCAGUUCAAUCAAUUCAUAUCGAUUAUUAUUGGGGAUUGGUCAAUUAAAUUGCUUGUGUAAAAAAACCAACCAAACCGACUUAAGAAAAUGGAUUACUCACCUUUAUCUAUUUCUUUUCAAUAUUUUUUUAAACAAUCUCAUUAUAAAUUCUGAUUAUAUCUACUCUUUUUGACGCAAAUGCCUAAAACUACCCAUAUCCCCUCCCCAACCCAUAAAUAAGAGGACAAUGCGCUUAGCGCAUUCGAACUCACACCUUUCUGCAUUGACAGCAAUAUUCGUGCUAAUCAAAUUCAAACUCAAUCGAAUUUUUUCAAUAUUUUUAUUUGAGCAUAUCUUAGUAUGAAUAAUCACUUACAUAGUUUUAGAAAAAAUAAAAUUGAGAAGGGUCAGAUUUGACUUGUACUGUUGUCCCUUGUCUUUGGGGGGCAUUUGUAAAGUGAUUAUUGAGCUAUGAAAGUGAUCAGACAACUCACAUUAAAAACUUCAUAAACACUUAGGAAGCUGCUGCUUUCAUAAAUGGGGUCUCCACUUUACCCUAACAAAAAUAAUAUCAAUGUUCUUUUUAAUCUCUAGAGCCAUGCAAUGCUAUCAUCAUCAUCUUACAUGGCUCAAUCUUACCCUACAGUUUUUCAUCAAUCAUUUUCUAAUUUACUUAUUUUAUUGUUUACUGCAAUAUGAUUCUCACUAUCUUGUACCACUCCAAUACCAUAUAAAUUGUAUGCCUUCUUUCAUGAAAUGAUAAUACAUUUAAUUUGAUGACCAUAUUUAAGCCUAAAAAUUACCCCACAAUUUGAUGCCAUUAAUUGAUUCUUCAUUAAUCCAUUUUCAUACCCCCUUUUUUUUCCCUUUCCAAAUCACCAUUGAAAUCUCAAGUACAUUCUCUUGAUUGUGUGACUCGAAUCUUAUCACUUACUGAAAAAAUAAAUAUAGUGACAAAAAAAGGGGAUCUGUAAAGGCAAAGAGUCGAGGGGCAAAGUUGAAUCCGUAUAGAACUAUUUUUCUUCUAUUUGACUUUAAUUAGAACAGAGUUUUUUAACUCUUAAAUAAAUGUACUCGAAACUCCUCUUGUAUUAUUCUUUUUCAACAUUAGUGAAUUUUUCCUCCUCUGUCCGUGGUUUUUCCACGUAAAAUCUAUGUAUUCUUAUUUUUCAUUUUCUUAUUGCUUUGCAAUUGUUUUACCACCAUUAUUGACAUUUAUUAUAACGAAAUUAGUUUUUUUUAAAGUUAUUAUCAAUAUCAAUCAUUACAAACACUUAAUUAUAUAAUAACUCACCUGCUUACGAUUUAUGUAAGUGAAACUCAAACCUCGACACUUAAAAUCUUAACCUUGUCGUUUCAACCAAGGUUUUAUGGCUUGAGCUAAGUAGCGGAUCUUAGCAUUAAGACUUGGGGAGGUUUAACUAAAAUUUUCAAAAAAAUUAAAAGGAUUUAAUGAGAAUGUUUAAAAAUUUUGAUAGAUCUAAUUAAAACUUUCAAGAUUAAUGAGAAUUGAUAAAGAUUUUGAAGGGAUCUAAUUAAAUUUUUUUAAAAGUUCAAUGAGAAAUUCCAAAUUUUUGAAAAGGAGUCUAUUUGGAGGCCUUUUAUUCCGCCUCUUGUUGAGCUAAAGAUCUAUUACCUUACCUAGACAAUCAAAGUUUUUUUUUUUUUGGCUUUUUGAAAAUACAACUUACAAUUAUAUCAACAAUUAUCAUCAGAAUUAAUAAUUACAAACACUUAAUUGUAUAACUAAUUCAACUCAAAUUAACUUACCUACACAUAAUUUACACAAUUAAAACUCGAAUUUGAAUACUCUAAUCUCGAAAAUCUCAACUAUAUCAUUUCAUUUAACACCUAAUUGAAAACUGUUAAGUAAUUUUCCGUGUAUCUUAUUAAAGAGAACAUUCGAGUAUUUAAUUAUAUUAUCACAAUUCAUGGACAUGACCCCACAAUUCAUAGGACUGACAUUCUGAGCAGGUCUCGGGCAUGUUACACACGUGUACCAUUCGGUCCCCUACGUGCGAACUCCUUGGGUAUAUGUGAGUUGAGGCCGCAAACUCCUCUCAACCCAUGCAAGCUGAUAUUGUGAGCUCCCCUAGCUAUUCCCUCGCUGUACGCCUCACGCAUAUUCAUCUAGUAAGGUCUGAUCGGGUCGCGGGUAGUCGACCCGGAUCUUACCUAAAUUUCUUAUUGAUGAUAAUUGGUGUAUAACAAUUACUAUUUUUUUUAAAAAAAAAACAUUAUCUAAUUAUUAAGGGAUCCAAUGUUUUUAUUUCUCCUAGUUAGUGAUCUUCCUGGGUUUUUCUUUUUGUUUCAUUUCUCCCUUACCAAUGCAGAAAAGCAGAUGGGGUCAGUGCACAUUGAGUUGAAUUUUGGACCACAACUGUAAUUAUAGAUUUGCUAGUUUUAUUCAUAAAAGACCCUCUAACCCCAAACUAAUUAAACCUUAAUAAACAUUAUUUAAGCUUUCAAAUUUGUGUUUGACCUUGUUGUGUCAUUGAUCUUUUAGCAAAGGAACAAUAAUACUGGGAUCCCCAGACAUGACAAACAAAAAAGAAAUGAUAGAAAUCAACCAACUACAAAAGGACAAUAUUAUUUUAUUGCAAUUUGCCCCCCAAAAAUAACUUCCUCAAAAUGAACAAAGCAAUGCACACCGGAAGAUACACAUGAAGAAAAAAACUAGACUCUGCUAAGAUUAGAAAUAGGAAUAGCCAAUUGGGUAGUCAGAAUGGCACAACCCACAACAAUUUUUUUUUUUUAAAUAUAAAUAUGAUGUUUGACUUACCUUUAACUUUGAUUAAGUGCAUCUUUCUAGUACAUUUACAAUUGACUUGUACUUAUUUGGCAGAGUGAAUUAUUGUCAACUUACACGUCAUAAACAAAGAAGUCUUGUGAUUUAAACUCACUAAAUUUGUUUUUAGGAGUGUUCACCCGGUAUCACUAGGUUAAGAGUUGAGGUUCUGAUUUAGUGUAAUUAUGUAUAAAACUUUAAUUUGAUUCUGAUUGGGUUUAGCUCAGUUUGUAAUAUUAGUAUUGUUGUCAGUAUAGAAGGGUCGAGUUCGAACAUGUUAAAGGGUGUUUUUCCUCCUAUUUAAUAAUUGGGGAGGGAUUAUGAAUGGUUCUAAUUGAUAUAAUUGUUUUUUUUACCUUACAAAUUAGGGAUGGUGGUCCAAACAAGUCUCUUAUGUUGUUGGUGUAGAUAUAACUAUUUGUAUAUAUGAUAAACAAAAUGAUAUCAUUGUAUGUAACAAUAAUAUUAGUUUUUUAUGAAAUCUGAACUAUAAUCAAAACAUCAUCUAUACAAUUAUACAGAAUCAAAAUUCAUUUAUCAUAUUUUCUCAAACAAUCAAAAUUUUAGUAUAAUUCUAAGAUUUAAAAAAAAGGGGGGGGGGGGACUGAAAACCAGAACAACACAAUGAAGUGUGGGGGGUGAGGCAAUGUGGGUUACACCAAAGGACAGAGAGAAGCCAAUGGGAGGGAAUUGCAGUGCAGAGGGCCUAAGAACAGUGGCAAUUGACAUAACAGUGGUUGGUGGUGGGUGCUGUGCUGUUGAUCUGGGGUUGUUAAUGCUGCUUUGUCUCAUGCAUUGGCUGCUUUGAUUCACAGAAACCCUUUCUAAAGGAUCCAUUUUACAUGUUUUGUCCUGAUGGCUGAGACCCCUCCUUUCUUUUCCCUCUGUGUGAGCUUUUACUCCCAUCACUGCAAAGGGUAGGUAUGUGGCCCCAUUUGUGGGCCUAUUGGGGCCCAUUUACUGCCUCAGCCCAGGUUUCACAUGUACAUCAAUGCCCUCUCUUGACUUGACCUCUCUUCUGUUUAUACUUUUAACCUUAUAUAUUUAUAAUAGCAUUUAGGUUCAGAUUUCAUCAUUAAAAACAUAUCAUGGGUUGAUUUUCUUUCAAAUAAUUGUGUGGGUAAGUUUUAUUCAAAUUGAUUUUGAUUUUGAUUUGAAUUUAUUUCGGUUUUUAAUUUGUUAUAUUAUUUUAGUUUAUUUUAGUUUUAAUUAAUCGAACAAGGAGGGGUACGCAGGGCCUUACCACCUUAAUUAGAAAAUUCUAUUUUUUAUCUUUUAAAAGGUAUAAAAUUAUAAAUUAAUAAAAGUAUAAUUAUAUUUUGACCCCAAAAAUGAUAAGAUAUUAGUUAAUAUAACGAUGAAAUUGCAUUUUAACUCUUAUCAAAAUUUAUAACUUAAAUUCAUCCCAAAAAAAUUCCUAGCUUCACCUCCGCCAACAUGAAUUAUUUGUAUAUUUGUACUGGACUUAAAUCACUGUUUGGGAUCUAAACUUGGCAAUUACUCUCACAUUAGGGCUUGAACUUAUUUUUUUGUCCAAGUUAGUCUUUGAACUUAGUAAUUGUCUCCACAUUGGAGCCUGAAUUGUUUUUAGUCCAAGUAAGUCCCUAAACUUGACAUUUGUUCCCACAUUAGGGCUUUAACUUUUUUUUGGUCCAAGUUUGUCCCUAUUAUUUCUUUGAAAGCUCUAAAAUUCAAGCUCUAAUGUGGGAGCAAUGGUUGCGUUAAAGAGUUAUCUUGGACAAAAGAAAAGAGUGCAAACCCCGAUGUAGAAACAAUUGUUUAGUUCAAACCCUAAUAAUAUAUCGAAAUAAUAACAAAGUUAAGGGACUAAUUUGGACAAAAAAGUCUAAGCCCCAAUGUAAAAGGAAAUAUUAAGUUCAAACCCCAAGUAGUGAUUUAAUCCCUGUCAAUUUUGAAAGUGAGUAAUUAAGGACGAUUAAUCACGACGUUAAUGUCUUUUGUUAAUUGUACAUAAAUUUGCUAGGCAUAAUAACAAAUUUAGUCCUUGAUGUUUACAUAUUAUGUUAAUUUGGUAUUCAUUAUAAAAAUUUAACAAAUUUAGCCUCAACAUUUACACGUUUACAAAACAUUGCGACAUAAAUUUAUUACUAUACCAAUCAAAUUUGACGAAAAAUAUUAAUUUUGUGAUUAAUUGUUCUUAUUUACUCACUUUUAAAAUUAAAAGAGAUUAAAUUACUAUAAAAUUUCUAAAAUGGAUCAAUUUAUUAAUAUGGAAAUAGAGAGAAACUGAAGAGACUUAUUAAGGAGUGAUUUAUUGGAUGUUCCUGCAUAGCAGGAAAUUUGGUGAAGAGGAUGGGUCCUACCUCUACCUUUUUGCUUACAGCCUGGAAAUGGGACCCAACUUAGCCAUAUCCCAGCCACAAAAAAUGAUUAUAUUUACUUGGAUGGUAGAAAGGGUUGGGCGGCUCAUUGUGCCAUUGCGGAGAAAAUAAGAAUACAGGUUUCCAUUCCAAAUGCUAAGGCUUAGGGUUCCUUUUGGUUUUUUAGAAAAUAAAACAUACUAAAAAGUUUUAAUAUGGGUUUUGAAAGGAGAAUAUAAAAAACAUGUGAAAAUUAAAAAAUAAUAAAAAAUUAUUUCCACUACAAAUAUUUUGUGAAAGUAAAAAUCAUGUUUUUAACUUUACGUUAAUUGUCCAUUGUUCAAACUCAUUUAGACGCAAAAAUUCCCCCUUUUUUUAAAUAUUAAAUUCGAUACACUAGUUUGAGUCAAUAUAAAUGUCAAUUAUUUAUUUAUAGUUACCAAACAUGCUUUUUUAUUUUCAUUUUUGAAAACAAUCUUUUAUUUUUUAUUUAUUAAAUGUGUUUCUCAAUUCUUAAAAUGAUAGAAAACGAUUAUUAUUUUCUAAAAAUGAAAAUAGAAGAUAUUUUCAAAAACCAAACCGAGCUUAAACCGGCCCGGCCCAAAAUAUGGGCUUGGAAAAAAAUGAGGCCCAUUUAGAAAACGGGCCGAGCUUCGGGCACCACUUUUUUGGCCUGGGUCUGGCCCGACUAUAAUAAUUUUUUUUUAUUUUAAAAUAUUUUUUUUGUGUUUAUUAAAAAAUGGGCCGGGCCGGGUCGGGUUCGGGCUUAUGAAUUUUUUCUCGGGCUGCGCCAGGACAAAAUUUUAGGUCCAUAUUUCGGGCCAGGCUGAAAUUUUUCUUGGGCUUGGCCCGGCCCGGCCCAUGAGCACCUCUAGCUUAAACAUGGUUCUUGAAUUUUUUUUUUUCCAUGUUAGUUUUCAGGUAGGAACUAUUUUUUAUCCAAGUUUGUCCCUAAACUUGACAACUGUUCCCAUAUUUGAAUUUUUUUUGUUCAAGUUAGUCCAUAAACUUCUAUGAGCUCAGCAAUUAUGAUCGCAUUGGGGCCUGAACUUUUUUCUGUCCGGGUUAGUCCUUGAUAUGUCCUUAAAAAUCCUAAAGUUCAAGCUCCAUGUGAAAAAAAUUGUUAAGUUCAGACUCCGAUAUGUCAUCAAUUAUCUAGUUUAAGCCCUAAUAUAGAAACAAUUACCAAAUCCAUGAAUUAAUUUGGACAAAAAAAAAUUAAAAUCCUAAUAUAAAAUUAUUAUGAAAUUUAAGCCCAAAAUAAUAAUUUAGCCUAAACAAAUUUAUAAAUUUAGAUUUGAAUUUAAAUAACAUAUUUUGUGAUUUAUCUUAAAAACUAUGAACUAGAUUUUUCGGUGGACACAUGUUUCGUUUACUUUCUCAUUGCUUUCUUUUCUUUUUUUCUUUGUCGGUUUAUAUGGGGCAAAAACCACAACGUAAUUAGCGUGAUUCAAAUUCAGGUCACAUCUGAAGCGGUGAACAUUCUGACUAAUAGGUAAUACACGGAGUUUUAUGUCUGCACAAAUUUAUAGCAUAUUUAGAUAGUCACUUCAAUUAUUAACUAGUAAGUUUUAUGUAAUCAAGUGUAAUUGAAGUAUCUUAAUCAUUUGUUUUAAUUUUUAUGAUAAAUACUAAAAUUAUAUAUAAAUUUUUAUGAUUUUGUGUGAUUUUAUAUAUGAAACUUUGAUUUUACUAACAACAUUAUCAAAUUAGAAUUAUUUUAUAUCGAUAUAUGGCAUACACAAACAAAUAUAUUAAUCUGAUAUGAAUUUAAUAUCGAAUUGGAAGUACAAUGUUUCUUUAAGAACACUUCCCAUGGAAAAUUAAAGAAAAACAUGAACGGACAGGCAUCCAUUAAUAAUACCUAUACACAGUCAAUUUAUUCCUCAAAGUUGAUGUAGUUGUCAAUUUGGCUUUUGUUCUUUUCAGGUAUAGCUAAAAUUCGUCAUAAUGGAAAUAUUGACUAAAACAUUAAUUUUUAACAAUGUUAGCGUGAUAAUUAGCGUAAAAACUCACAUGUACUUCAUGCCAAUAUGACACUAUUUGUCUUGUAUGUUACGCCAAUAAAUAUAUUUAAAUUUUAUAAAAAAUUUCGAGAAUUCAAAUUUUCAAAAUUAUUAAAAAUAUCAUAAAAAUUUAAAAACAAAAAGAAGAAGAAUGAAGUACUCAUGUAGUAUCAUGCGGGUUGUCAUAUUUAAAAACUCAACGUUUUAGUUAGUAUUUCUGUUAAAAACCAAUAAUUCUAUUUUUUUUUUGAAAGAUUGGUGGUCAAAUUCGACUCCUUUAAAAUGGUCAAGGGUCAAAUUUAACUAAAAAAAUAUCAAAUUGAUAAAAGUAUAAGCGUUAAUAACUAAAUUUAUCAUUAUGUUUAAAUAAAAAGAAAAGAAAAGGGAAAAAAAACUAUUUUAAAUUGUUAUAGUUAAUAAUUGAAUACAUUUAUAAACUAUAAUCUAUAUAUAUAAAAGCACGAGUUUGAAAAAAAAAUUGAACCAACGAGAAUACCCUUUAUUUUCCAUCAUAUUAUUAAAUUCACAUUUUGAAAUUAAAACAAAUCUGAAGUAAAAUAGAAGUUAUAAUAAUUAUACAUUUAAAAAUAAUUAUAAUUUAAUUUACGAUUUUCAGUUAAAUAUGUUGUUCUAAUUUUAAAAUAGAGUUAUUACUUGAAUAGAUUUCUUAGCACUUUAAUUAUCACUUAAUUAAUAUUAGAGUUAAUUAUAUUAAUUAGUUAUUAUUUUGAAUAAUACUACUUUACACUAAUUACAUAAUGAAAAACUAUAUUGUAUGUUGGAUAUGUUAAAAAUGCUUUAAUUAUAAUUUGAAACUUUUUUUUUAUUAUAAUGUUUGAAUUGAUAAGUUGAUAUAUUUUAGUUAUAUUCAAUAAUUCAGAUAAGAAAUAUUAUUAUUCGUUAAUUACUAUAAUAAAAAUACAAUAUUUAAAAAUUUAUUGAAUAUUAAACACGUAAAAUCAAAUGCAACGUAUGUGACAAUAGAAACUGGUGAUUUAAAGUGCUAACGGUAGAUUAUUUGAAUAAGUUUUGAUCUAAUUGUAAUUUUAUAUUAUUAUUUAUUUUUAUGUUUUUAAAAUUAAGUUUGUAUAAAAAUGCCACCAACUUCUUGAUCUAGUGACAAGAUUAUUAUGUUGUAGAUAUGAGAGCUUGAGUUUAAUUCUAUGCAACCCUAUUCCCUUCCCCAAUUUUAAAAUAAAUAUAUAGAAAAUAAAGUUUAAAAUAAAAUUAUAUUAAACUAAAUUACAAAAAAUCAAUUUUAAACACAUUAUAGUAAAUAAAGAAUUAAUAUAUUAAUUGGUACUUCAUUAUAAGUUCUUAUAAUAUCUAUUCUUUUUAAUACAAUACCUAGAACUACGCAUAGCCUCUCCUCAACCCUUAAAUAAGAUUAUAAUACGCUUCAACACACUCGAACUCACGUCAUUCUGUAUUGACAAUAUAUUAAUAUUAAUCGAAUUAAGACUUAAUCGAUAAAACUCUACAUACUUAUUAAAUUGAAAUGUAUUAAAUAAGUACCUUUGUAGAACAGUAAUAGUGCGUUCGCUUCGUAAAGUGGGCCCCACUGCCCUUUAUCAAAUCAAAUCAAAUCUUUGCCCUCAUCUCAGAGCACACCUGUCAUCCUUUUCAACACCUGGAUGGCUCUGAUUGAUUUCACCAUCCCCCAACUCUACUCUGAUGCUUUCCCUCCAAAUCCUCCACCCCCUCUCUCUUUCCCUUCAGCAGUUGGCAUGAAAUCUUACGUGCCUUACGCCCACAUCACGUCUGAUAUCAUGGUUCACGUUUUUUUUAAAAAUAAAAUUAAAAAUAAUAUUUCAAUAAUAAUAAUAAUUUUUAAUAAAGGUGCAUCAAAUAUUAACUAUUAGAAUAAGGAUAAUUGCACCAAAAUUCCAAACUAUUACUUCAUUUUAAAUUAGUCAUCAAAUUUUAGAAAUCUCUAAUUACAUCCUUAAAUUAUUAAAUAUUAUAUUAAUUAUGUCAUUUCAUUAUUAAAAUUAUUAAUUUAACCGUUAAAUGACAAAUCAAAUUUUACAGAGCUAAAUUUAAAAUGAAAUAUUUAAAGAAAUAGAACGAUGUUAUAUAACUUUUAAAAUUAAAAACUAAAAAUAAAAUGAAACUGAAACUGAAAAAAAAAAAAGAGUGAACAAUGAAGCUUCUAUAAUUUUGUAAAAUAUUUUGAAAACCUCAAAAUUAAUAUUUUUAAAACAUCUAUUUUACAAUAUUCGUGUUUUUUCUUGAAAUUUUCAAAUAAGAUCUGACAUGUCAUUAACAGGUAAAUUAAUGAUUUUAAUAACAAAGAACAUAAUUGAUGUAAACUCGAUGAUUUAAGGAUAAAAUUAGAAUAAUUUAAAAUUUAGGAGCUAAUUUAGGAUCAGGGUCAUAAUUUGAGAUGUUUGGUAUAAUUAGCUAUUAGAAUAAUGAAUCCUUACAUGGCUACCACACAAAUUUUUUAUAGACCACACAGAAAAUUUGGUUAGGGGAAUUUACAAUAAUAACCCCGUAUUGAUCUUGUUUCAUUACAGAAUCAUGAUGUCCAAAUAUAUGUACACAGGAGAAAUAAACUGGUCGAAAGUCCAACAGCAUUGAAACAGCCACUCGCCACAAUCCAACGACCCCAGUGUCCGUAAAUUUUUGUCGGACACGUGGAGAAAAACGAUUUACACAGAAGGAAACGGCACCGUUUCACAAUUUUUUAAUUCACAGAUAUAAUAAAAAGGAUAAAUUUGGUUGUUUAUUAAAAUGAGGAUCAAAAUUCAAAAAGUAAAUUACAAAAUGCACGGAAAAUCUUUUUCCUUUUACUUUUAACGAUCCUUAGGUGUCAUAAAAGGAAUAAAAGAAAGAGAAAAAGGGCAAUUUGGUCUAUAUUCGAAAUAUUGGUCCAAUCAAUCUUUAUGAUUUAUAAGUUUUUCGAUCUUCAUGCAACUCAUAAUUGAGUUAUGCGCCGAGAAUAAUUGAAACAUCAUGAGAACUAGCUUCGGCGGCUUUGACUAAAAGGCCCUUAACAAUAUUCAUUAAUUAUUAUAAAUAACAAAAUUCCCUCCUCUUUUCUACCAUCAUAUCCCCACCGUUCAUCAUAUAAAUUAUAAAUAACAUGAAAAAAAUGACCAAAAAGAAAGUGGGUCCCCAUUUUCAUUAAGAUGGAGGGAAAGGGGGAGAGGGGGGUUUAUCUACGGUUGCUGUACAUCCGGAUCAGAGGACCGAAAUCGCUUGGGUGGCGGCUCUUCUUGGCUGCUGCUAGAGCCGGGAAUUUCGGAGCGCGUGUCACAACUGCCGCAAGCGGCCGCGUCGAGCACGCCGACUGGGCUUGGUGGCGCGGUUGACGGCUGCUCGACUCUUAACUCCUUGAAUCGAGCAGAUGGACAUGUGUCGACGAGGUAUUCCUCCAUUAGUUGGUGACAGCUUCUCACCAUUUCCUAUCCCAAAGAAAAAGGAGAAAAAUGAAAAGAAAAAAAAAGAGAAAAAGAAAAAUCACCGCCAGAUUUUAUAAAUUUUAACACAGCUUUCUAUGCUUCUUUAAUCUUCGAAAUUCUCGCAAAGAAAAAAAGAUAUUUGCGAAAUGACCCUUCAAGAAACGCAAAAUUUACAAAUAAACUUCAACAACAUACUCUGUUUACACUCUCGUGAAAAAAAACGUCACGAGCCGGACAUUCCAAACUGUCUCCGGUAGCACAAAGCAAGGCGGCGGCUGCCAUCGUCGACGGCGCAAAUCGGAGGAAAUCAAUUACUGUCAAUACCAAAAACAAAAGUUUAACUAAUUUCAAUAAGAAUCUUCUUUUUCUUUUGUAAAGAUUAGAAGUAUUACCACGGGUGGUGUUGAGAAUGAGAUCCGAAGAAGCAGCGAUAAUAGAAGAAAACGAAUCGGAUAAUCGGGUCGAGCAAGAAGGGAGCUUAGAGAUGAAGUAAUGGAGAUAAUCAAAGGGAGUUACCGAACAUAAUCUCCAAUUAAGAGCAGCCAUUACACGAAGCUCCAUUCUUUGGAUGGUUUUAGGUUCGAAAACGAAUCUGGGUUCGAAUACUUGAAGGUCCAGUAACAAUGGCACUUGGGGUUCUUCCAUUUUCGCUGCCAAUGAUAAACACGCCACUGAUAGAAGCUGAAACGGCCACCCAUUUGCUUGCUAUGGGACCAAAUUGAAAAAAAUUUAAAAAAAAAAAGUAAAGAAUUUUGGAAGGAAAUUUUUAAGUUGCAGAGUUUUGAAAUACAAAGGAAACGGAGUUUCUUUUUUUCCUUUACCGGAAGUGAGUAAGAAGAGAGGUAACGAUCGAAGUAGUUGACGGAGAGGAACGCCGUUACUGGACUGAAAUGAUAGUGUGCAUGCACCUGUAUUUGCCUCAUGUUCAUAUCAACAAUCAAUAAAUUUAAAUUUGUUCCUACUAUAUGUUUUGUGUAUAUAAAUGAGAAAAAUGGUGGACCUUUAGCAUCCAAUUAAUGGAGUCUUGACGGGAUAUAACGUCGACGGAACGGUCCUGGCAACGGCGGAGAUAAUCGGGUAAAGGCAUAUGAUGGGAUUCCGAGUCGAUGAGUCUUGAAAUGGCAUUCUCAUCGGGAUUGGGAUAAUACUUGUCAUGGUGGCCGGAAAACGGUUCGGGCUCCCAGGUUACCACUUCACCGGCGUCCUCACCGCAAGACAAACUAGCAGCGGAGACAGAGGAACUGUUCAAGGGAGUUGAGUGAGAGUGAGAGAGGGACAUUUGGAUGAUGGUGAUGAUAAAGAUGCGGCUGAUGGACGGCCGCAACGGCAUUUACUGGACGGAUAGAAGCUUUGACGAUUGCAGUGGCGAUAUCGACGACGGUGGCGAUGGAGUGGAGGAGAGAGUCGGUAGUGGUGGUGGUAUUUCGUCUGGUCAUUUAGCUUUUGUGGUUUUUAUGGGGAGUUUUGUUUCUUAGUUUUUUACAUCUUCCUACUACUCAAAAUCCUAUCGUUUUUUCUAACAAAAAGUAUAAAAAGACCAUAAAUGUGAAUAAAAAAAUAAGUUGAACUGUUUUUGUUUCUACGUAAGAUAAAUACAAUUAUUUAUUUGUUUGUGUAUCUAAUAAAUACAAAUAACUGUAAUGUUAGUAAUUAAUUUGUGAAAAUUAAAUCAAAAUAAUAUUUUUUUCGAAACAAGCAUAAUGUUAUUAAGGAAAUUCCAUAAGGAACACGAAAUACAAAACCGUCAAGUGGCCCAAUAAGACUCGAAAUCAUAUUGAGAUAACAACAGCCACGUCAGACUUAAUGAAGAGAAGAGCAACUUGCCUAACAGAAAAUAGUCACAAGCAACCAAACGCAAAUGGUCAUAACGGGAACAACAUAAAAUGAAAAAGCCUAAAAAGGAUAGAACUAAACCCGACAAGAACUUAAUCAUACCCAAACACCAAAAACCAACAAAAGUCCUAAGUCCAUAGUCUUCAUCAUCACCACUAAGAGAGGUGCAACACCCAUUAGCAACUGUAUGGCGACAUCGAAGGCUAGAGAUCACCCAACCACAAAAGUCUUUAGGUGGAAUCAUUUACCCAAUAAUUGCUUUGUAAAAGCAGAGCACUAGUGUCAUGGGCUGCAGAUCAAAGGCUGUAACUAAUGCAUGCAAAAUAGCACAUGGAGGUCAAUUGAUUAAACAAGGCUCAUUCAACCCAAUUGAACUGACCUGAUUCGCAGAAUAUGUGGAGAAAUCUAUCUACUUGAAGCCUUGGUGACCCAAUGAAACAUUCCAGUAAAUUAGAAUUAUCAUGGUGAAUAUUGUAAAUCUUAAAGGACAAGAUUGUAUAGUGUUUAAAUCUCUUAGAGCUCUCAUAUUGUAUAUAGGCUUUAAUCUUGAUCGUCAAUGUAAUUUAAACUAUAUCGUUGGAUCUGAGGAAGCUCAAUUAUAAAUAGAGACCUUCCCCCUUAUUUGUAAUCAUUCCAUUUAGAGUUAUCAAAUAUAUUUGAGAGCAUUUACUUAAACACCUUGUGUGCAUUACUUGCUUGUGGCUUUUUCGGUUCUUUAAUUGCUUCUUCGUUUAAGUGUUUUGCUUCCGCUAAAUUUUAUUACCUUAGAGAAUUCUCACUUUUUGAGAGUUAGGUUGACUUAGGUGGAUUUGAAGCUAAGUUUCUGUCUUAGGUUGCGCGGUUUGUGAGACUAAAGUUCUAACCCUAUGACAUUAAGGGGUGGUGAGGAACACCCGGAAUAGAAGCUAAACAUCCAGUCCUAAAGGAGCAAUAAUCUUGCAAAAAAAAAACAGACAACUAAAACUUCUAUAUCUCGAGACAAACAUUGGCAUAAACCGAACCUUGGCACCACCGGGACAUAGCCUACAAAAGAACUUAAAGAAUAACAUCGAUAAAAACCACAAAAAAGAGCAAAAAAAAAAGAAGAAGAAGAAAGAAAAGGUGGAAAUGGACAUAUGGUGGUCAGAUUAGAUUCAACCAAGUGCUGAAGGCAGAGGUUGAUAUGGAUGGAAGGAGCCAACGGUACAGAAAAGGGGAAGAGGAAAAAUAGGGGAAAAAUGGAAAAGUAAUGCUGAAAUUUAAAGAAAAAUAAAGAAAAAAGUUGUGGAAAGGAAAAGAGGAAUGAUAAGAAAAGUCGAUGUGUAACGCCCUAUACUUG
rnacentral:lncRNA from 1 species